AAACUUAAAAUUAUAAUUGUUUAUCUAUCGAAUUAAAAAAAAAAUAUGACAAUUCAGUAGUCUUUAAUGAAAUAAAAAAAAUGAAAAAUGUUAUUUAUGUCAUUGUAAGCACACUAUAUUAUAUUACUUUACAAAGGGACGAAAGACAUCCUUUGCGUUAGGAUGCUCCCACUCCACCACUGACUCCCACCAUCUUUUUGGACUUAAAUAGAUAUUUUUAAGAGAUGGGGGAGGAGAUGGCUGGCCAUUUUCGAGCAACGGAAGACAAAUUGGCAUCCUCUUCAGCUUCUCACAAUAUGUUACAUCAAUAUCUUCAAGAGAAUUGCAAAUCAGUUUUGCUCUGCAAAUGCUUUUCAGUUCAGGUAAAAUAACCAAUUUCAGAAUUCUUAACUUUGGGAGAAUGACUUCCGUGAUGGAAUUGGAGCUGCUGCUUUCUUCAUCUGUUGUUCCUAUUAUCUCCUCCAUUUUCUCACAGCACUUCACUUCAAUCCUUUCCAGGUUUACGAGGUUUGGCAGCAGCACAAGUGGGAACAACUUCUUCAUACUCUUACAUCCAUAACAAAAAAACCUUUUAAUACUGGAAAACAUACCAUUAUAUGAUGGCAAUGGUGGUGGAGCAGAGCAGAACCAAGAAGAUGAAACCAAGCUCUCCAUGUUAUAGCAUUCCCCAAUGCUGAUUUCCUUCAGUUCAGUUGCAUUCUCUAAUGACAAAACAUCACAUAAACUUCUUGCAUCGAUGCAUUCACAAAUCAGUCCUUGAAUGCCAUUUAAGAACUUGACCUGAAAAUCUCUGUCUUCGUUGAUACUCAAAUUACCCAACCCAACUGUUUUCAAACUUUCAAUGCCAAAUCUACCCACCUCUCCUACUAAAAUCUUGCAUGUGCUUAAUGAUAGGAUCCCAUCCCGAGAUCUGAGAUACUCCAUUAAGUCAGGGAGACCUUCGAAAUGGCAUUCCAAAGUUUCCAAAUUUCUCAAGGAUCCUACUUCCUUUCCUUUUAACUGUUAUCGGAGCAUCACCUCGCGGCAUAAACUCUUCUAGUACAAAGACUUGCAGGUGAGAGAGUUUUGGUAAUAUCCCACUAGGAAACGCCUUUUCACCACAUCCAUCCAUACUAAGAUACCUCAGGUUGGUUAGGCAUUCCAUUCCUUGCGGCAUCUUUUCAAGCCUAGUAUAAGAGAGAUCCAACCUCUUCAGUGCCGUGAGCUUCUUUAAUGAUGGAACAUGACGUAACUUCUCACACAUUUUGAGCAAUAACGCAGUGAGACUCACCAAAUCAGAGACAGAGUCUGGCAAGUUUCCAAUAUUUGUCCAAGACAGAUCGAGGACCUUGAGCCCAUGCAAUUGCUUGAAAAAUGAAUCCGCAACAAAUCCCAACCCUUUAUUAUCACAUAGAAAUAGAGUUGAUAGAUAGGGACACCUUGGUGAAUAGCUGGAAGGAAUUUCUUUGAUAUUGUUUUGCAUUAGUGAGACUCUUGUGAGAUUCUCUGUCCACUCCUCUGCAUCUGGCAACUCUUCUAAUUGCGCACCUGCUUUAACCAUGACUUGAGAGUCGUCUUGCAGUAUUUGGAUGGCCAUGUCCCUAAUCAAGUCAUGCAUCUUGACAAGUCCAUAAUCCAUUUGAGCACUUUCCAAUAGGCAGACAUUUUCAAGUCUAUUAAGCAUCGUGUGGCCCUCAUCAAAUGCAUCUCCCCUGCUCCUCUUUCCUUUAAUUAUUCCCUCAUCGAUCAAAUAACCUAUCAACUCCUCCCUUGCAAUCAUAUCAUCUUCAGGAAAUAAUGCACAGUACAAGAGACAUUGCUUUAGUGCUAAAUCACCUAACCGAUCAUAACUAAACCUCAAUAACCUGAAUACUUUCUCAUCUAUGUCCCUAAAUUCUGAUUCUCUCAAUUUGUUCAAUGUGUUUCUCCACUCAUGUGGAUCAUCCACUCCCCUCAAGCUUCCUGCCACUGCAAUAAUUCCCAAUGGCAAACCAGCACAUUCCCUAGCAAUAUCUUUCGCAAUUCCUUCCACUUCUGGUGAAAGUGCUAUGUCACGUCCAAGUUUCUCCAUGAACAAAUUCCAAGCUUCACCCUCAGAAAGUGGCUUCACUUUGAUUUUGUGGUGGCAAGCCAUCCGAUGACAAACCGUUUCUGAUCUAGUUGUCAUAAUCAGCUUGCAUCCUUUCGACAGCACAGGAAUUCCCACUUCAUCAAGCUCAAAAUUGUUCCACAAAUCAUCUAAAAUGAGGAUCCAUUUUUGUUUCGUCCUUAAUUCUUCUGACAAUUUGGCAGCUCUAUGCACAUCAUCAUCUUCGUUUGCAAGGUCUAGAUCAAGACAUUUAGCUAUGAGAUUCUGCAAUCUAGUAAUGCUGAAAUCUUGAGACACAGUCACCCACCAAAUAUUUGGUUUUUGUAGAAGCUCAUUAUGGAUAUGUUUGAGUAUUGUCGUUUUACCAAUCCCCCCCAUGCCAUAAAUGCCAAUGGUUGGGACUUUAUCAUCCAUUAACAAAGACCAUAUCUCCUUCGUUUUCUCUUCAAAUGCUUGACCCACUGGCUUUGUGGAGCUAGUAGGUAAUGGAACUCCUCUAGUCUUGUUGUAUUUCAGACUUUCAGAAGAUCUUGCUCCUGCGCUAGCCUCCUCCAUUGGUUCUGUCCUCACUCUAACCAUGUCCAGCGCAUCAUUGUUUACUGAUGGAGCACAAGGUUGAUCAUAACAUCCUCCAAUGUCAGGACAAAAUUGGGAUGAAUCUCCUCGAGGCUCCAGAAGCUGCACUUGCUCUGUUCUUGGAAUAGUCUCAAAUGCAUCAUGCUGAAAAGAUCCUUCACCUUGAACUCCCACUUGUACUGCUUGUAAAUGCGACUGAAUUCUCUCUUCUCCGGGACCUUGUUCCACGCCUUGAACUCCCACUUGUACUGCUUUGCUCUGUUCCAACACUCGAUCCACGGGUUCUGUCCUCGUUCUGCUCUCGAGUGCCCCUUCGGAAACUCCAUCUUCUUGUGCUCUCAUUCCGGUCAUGCUUGCUACGUCGUUUCCUGCUAUUGCAUGAGAAGAAAUCCUCUCUUCCCCUACCCCGGGUUCUACAACCUGAACUUCUCUUUGUACCCUUCCAAUACCUCCUACCAUUGUUGAGAUUGAACUUGCUGUGAUUUUAUGUCUUUUGUUGCCACCACGCAUAGCUAGAAAGGCUGCUUCUUGAACUUCUUUAGGCACCCCAAGACAAAUGGCAACAUUAUGCCCUUCCUCUCCUGAUAAAUGCCAUUUGAUCCUUGAAAUGGAGGUUUUAUUGGCAAAUGUACGUUGACAAAACUUACACUUCAUCCUACCCUCAUCACUUUCUUCAACAUGAUUCCAAAACGGAUCAUUUGAUCCAACCUUUUCGACCUAUAGAAAAAAGAAGUCAAAGUAUAGAACAAAAAUCAGUUAAAAUAUGGAAUAAAAAUUGACGGAUCAAGUUACAGAACAGAAGUUUCCGGAUUGAGAAACUAUUUUGCUAUCAAAAUUGAUAGUUAGUUUAUAGCACAAUCAUAGGGGAAAAAAGACUACGAUAAUUCAGUUAGACUUCUUACUUGUUGAGUAUUUAAACCCCUAUUUUGACUUUGGAAGGAAGUGUCAGGGCCAGGAUUAGAGGCAUUUGGCAUAGCAGUUUGAUUUUGCAAUCCUCCGGCUUGGAAUUUAUCCAUCUGUGACCUAUAUAUAAAUGAAAUGAUCAUAUUAUAAAAAUUUUCGAUAAUUGGUAGUCUCUCUUAAGCACUAAAAAUCAACGGUGUAUCUAAUUAUCGAAAAAGGUAUUAAUACUAUGCAGAAAAACUAAUUGUUUUUUUUACAGAAAAUACUAAAAAUGAAAAAUUGGAUACCAGGGAGCAGGAGAAGAAGGUCCAGGUUGAUUGAAGCCACCAUGUUGAGAAGUGGUUGCGUUCGGUGUCAUAUAGCCAUGUCCCGGCUGAGGUUGAUGAAUAAAGGAGUUCUGAUGCCUGAAUAAUAUUCAAAUAGUUAAACAUAGAACUGUUAUUCUCACAAAAAAGAGAGAUAGAGAGCUCAAAAAGACUUGAAAGAUCCACGUCAAUUUUGGUCAAGUUCAUUGUUUUCAUGAUUAAAAAAGUGUAUAUUCGAGGUUAAUACCUUUGAUUCAUUGGAGGUUGAGGUCCAGGUAGCAUCGUAGGCACUUGAUUGCUCAUUGGUAACUGAUAAUCAGUCCAUUGUUGGUCCCUAAAUGAGCAACAUUUGUUGGUGAUUUCUUUAUACAUAUGCAUAAUUCUUUGCUAUUAAUCCACUAAGCAUUUGAUAUCAUUUUAGCUUACCUCAAAGGCAUUGAUGGUCCAGGUAACAUGGGAUUGGCACAUUGAGGAUCAAAUAAAUUGGGAUUAGACUGAUACCUAUAUUCAAACAUAAUGAAUUCACUGAUAAGUACAACAACAAGAGGAAGAAGAAGAAGAAGUUAAAUAAUGAUUGAAAAACUUUUUUUUUUUUUCAGAAAAUACUAAACAUGAAAAAUUGGAUACCAGGGAGCAGGAAAAGAAGGUCCAGGUUGAUUGAAUUCACCAUGUUGUGAUGUGGUUGCGUUCGGUGUCAUAUAGCGAUGUCCCGUCUGUGGUUGAUGAAUAAAGGAAUUAUGAUGCCUAAUUCAAUGGACAUUGUAGCAAAUUGGAGUAAGCAUGAGUUCUCACCAUGGUUUCAGGAAAUGAAGUUGGAAACUGAGUUGUUUGUUGAAUACUAUCGUUGAUCACAAUGUUCUGUCCACCUUGAUCAUUGCAUAAUAUGGAGCCUUGGUUGACGUCAGCCGGCCUGCUUCCAUGGAAUAAGAUAGAGGAUAAACAGAAGAAUAACUAAAUUGCAAGCAAUCAUCUUCUGAUAAAAUAUGCUUAAGAAUGACGUACGGUGUCAUAUAGAGAAGUGGUGAUUGAAGACCGAAAAGAUCAUCAUCCAUAGAAGAUGGUGGGAACCCUUCCAUCUGACCAAAAGUACAAGAUGAUUAGUACAUACUGAGGUGAAAAAUGAACAGAAAGCACGUAGCAAAGGAAAAAAAAGAGUAUAUAUAUAUGAGUGGAUUACUGGGUACACACGUUACGUAAGUCAAAAUAAAAGAAAAACAAAUAAAUGGUGAAAAGCAUGUUUUAAUGGCAGUCCCAUUAAUUGGAAAAGAAAAGGGUGAAUCUAAGAAAAGAAAAGCCUAUUUUUUUUAUUUUUAAUAUUAAUAUAUCAAAAAAUAUUAAUUUAAUAGUUUUUUUUCAAAAUAAACAGAUUUUCAAAUGCACUCAAACAUAAUUCUAAGUACAAAAACAAAUUAUAUUUUGCUUGCGGGCAUAACAAUCCUGGCAGUACCGUUGCCGUUUUUUAGUUUACACAUUCUCUGGAGUGUCGAUUCCACAUUGAAGCAAAUUAAAAGAAUAAAAGCAAAUAUUAAAUGAUUUAAUAAAAGUGACUAAUGAAAAAGGUGCUUAAAUUCUACAAACAGCAGAUGGAUAGUCGGAAUCCCUUGAACACAUUUGAUAUUUUAAUUAUUCUUAUUUUGUUUAAUGUAAGGUAAUUACCAAUCAAGUUAAUUCAUUGAAUCAUUGUAAGGAAAAAAAAAGUUGAAAAAUACUGAAUAAAAAUGAAUUGCAGUCCCAUUAAUUGGAAAAGAAAAGGGUGAAUCUAAAAUGAGUUAAAAACACUACUUUACCUACCCCAAUUAUGAAGCUUAUAAGAAGAUGCCUAGAAAAUGUAAACACGUGAAUAUGAGAACCAAUAAUAUACUUUUCUUUUUAAAAAAAUUUUAUUUAAAAAAAUUAAAAUAAUAAUUUUUUUUAAAAAAAUUAUUUUUAAUAAAAAAAUAAUAAUUAAAAAAGAAAAAAAAUUCAAAGUUUUUGAAAAGCAUGUGCUCUAACAAUAACAUAUUAAAUAUGUGAUUAAUAGCAUGUGAUUAAAGGUUUUCAGUCGAUGCCAUUACAUGCAGUCAAAGACUCCAUCCUUACUUUUAAUAAACAAAACCUACACUCAAUAAUAUGUCCUAGUUUUUUUGGCCAGUGUUUUUCCGUGGUUUGAUUAAUUUUUUUAAAAUAUAAAAAUAAAAUGUUAAGAGUGAAGAAAGUUUGCGAGCGAUAUUAUUAAACCUAGUCAGGGAAGUUAAUAUUAAAAUCUUCUAACCUAAUUUUUUAUUUAAUUUAAAUUUUUCGAAGGACGAAAUUAAAAAAAAAUCAAUUACAAAAAUUAAAAGAAAAGAAAAAAAAAACAUAUUCGAUCAAUGAGUAAACCUGUCAAACUUGUGAAUCAAGUAAUUUGGGUUAGUACAUCAAACCCAUGAACCAGGUUAUGGACUUAACUAAGAUUAUAAUUAUUAAAUUUUUUUUUUUUUUAAUAAUAUGAUAACAAAAAUAGAUAAUUGUAAAAUUAAACACCAACCAUACACAUACACACACACUAAUUCGGCAAAACUAUGAAAUAGACAAAAAAAAUAAUUUAAAAAAAAUUAAAAAAAAGGGAAAAAAACAAAAAAAAGUAAAACACUGUCAAUUACUAUUAUAAUUCAUAAUGAAAUGAGUGUGGGUGAAUAGUGAUUCUCUUACACCUUUUAGUUUUUCUUUUAAUUAAUAAAUAAAAAAAAUAUCUCACCAAACCUAAAAUCUAGUAUAAUUUGAAUUAUUUUAACAAACCUGUAAAUCAGGUUAAUCUUAUAAAAAAAAUAGAAUAAAAAUUAAUAAAUUGAAGCUGAAUUAUAACCUGCCUAUAAUAAAAUAAACAAAAACAAUUUUUUUUUUUUUAAAAAGGGCAAAACACCUUGAAUUACGUACUAUUGUAAUUUACAAUGAAAUAGGUGUGGAUAUAUAGUGAUUCUCCCAAGUCUCUUAGCUUUUCUUUUAAUGAAAAUUAAUAACCGUAUAAUAUACUUUCUUGUGGAUGCUCUAUCGUUGCUAAAUUAAAACAUAUAUAUAUUUUUUUAUCUACAUCUAUGUGAAACUUUUUUAAAAUAAAAAUAUUUAAAAAGAUAAUGUUAAAAAAAAACAUUGUUAUUUUAUUUUUAUUUUUAAUAAAUACCAUCAUAAUAUGAUAUGGUUUUCUUUUUUACUCAGGUUAUUCAGUUAAUAUGUGAGUCAACCAGUAAACUAAACUUUGGAAUACGUUUCUUAACUAUUCGUAAGCUUCUUAUUUAUUCUUAGUAAUUAAAAUAUUUUUUUAUUUUUAAUAUUAAUAUAUUAAAAAAUAUUAAUUUAAUAUAAUUUUUAAAUAAUCAGAUUUUUUAAUAAACAUAACUCUGAGUACAAAAACAAAUUAUGUUUAGAUUGCGGGCAUAAGCAUAACAAUCUUGACAGUACCGUUGUUGUUUGGACUUUGAGAAUGAUAAAACAAAAGAGUUAGAAUAAAUUUAAAAUAAAAAAUUAAUUUUCUAAAAAUACUUUUAAAAUAUAAAAACAAACUAAUGAUAAAAUAGACUUUCAUACACUUAUCAAAAUCGCAGGAACGCAACAAUCAGGCAUUAGCUUCAAGCAACCAGAGGGAGCUUCACUGCAGUAGAAAACUUCAACAUAGCUUGAUUUGCUAUCCAAUCUGCACACCAUUGGAUAGCAAUUUCUUUUCAUAACAUUUACCUUUGUAAAAAAUUUCUACUUAUUUUUAGUUUUAAUAUCAAAUUCAGUCUUUAAUAUUUAUCUUCAAAAUUUUAAUAUAAAAUUUGACGGUCAAAAUUUCACUUAUUUUUAAUCAAUUAAAUUGAACAAAAUUUUGUUAAGUCAAACAUCAACUCUACAUUGAAUUGUUUUUAGUUUUAAUAUCAAAUUCAGUCUUUAAUAUUUAUCUUCAAAAUUUUAAUAUAAAAUUUGACGGUCAAAAUUUCACUUAUUUUUAAUCAAUUAAAUUGAACAAAAUUUUGUUAAGUCAAACAUCAACUCUACAUUGAAUUGUUUUUCUUCUUAGACCACAAGAGCUCCAUAACAAGUUUAUUGAAAUAAAUUAUCAAAUGAAAUUAAAGGAAUUAUGAUGCCUUGAUGGAGUUUGAGGCCAAUUUUAUAUGAAACUUAAUGAUAAAAAAAUGUCUAAAUCUCCCAAUUGUUGUCUGUUUGUUUAACAGUAAAGAAUUUGAAGAUGCUCGAGAUCGAUACACUAAACAUAAAACUUUUUGUAUAAUACAAACACUUGCUAAUUCAUUGGACAUUGUAGCAAAUUGGAGCACUCACCAUUGUUUCAGGAAAGGACGUUGAAAACGGAGUUGUUUGUUGAAUACUAUUGUUGAUCACAUUGUUCUGUCCACCUUGAUCAUUGCAUGAUAUGGAGCUUUGGUUGACUGGAACCUCCGGUGGUGGCCUGCUUCCAAGGACAGUGACGACAUUAUAUUGUUUUUUGGCAAUAAUAGGAUAAACCGAAGAAUAACUAAAUUGCAAGCAAUCAUCUUCUGAUAAAAUAUGCUUAAAAAUGACGUACGAGAGAAGCUCAAUGUCGGGCAAUAGUGAUUGAAAAUCGAGCUCAUUCCACAUCAUGUUGACAUCCUCCUCUAUAGAAGAUGGUGGGAACCCUUCCAUCUGACCAGAAAAGAUCAGAAAAGAGAAAAAGAACAGAAAGCACGGAUCAGAAAAGAACAUAUAUAUGACUUACUUGUUGGUUAAAGAAAUUCGGAUGAAAAAUAUGAAAUAUAAAUGUUGUUGUUAAUGAUUUAAUCCUGUCUUUUAAGCUAAAUUAUCAUACUCAAAUUCUUUUUAUGAUAGAUAGAAAGAUGCAGGAUAACUGGUGAACAAAAACCUCUUUCAACUCCUCUUUAUUCAUAAUUUGGGGAGCAAAACAAAUGCAAGAUUCAUUGUUUACUGUUAAACAAACCUCUUUCAACUCCUAUUUAUUCUUUUUUAAUUAUUCUUAUUUUGUUUAUUGAAAGGUAAUUACCGAUCAAGUUAAUUCAUUGAAUCAUUGUAAGAAAAAAAAAAGUUGAAAAAUACUGAAUAAAAAUGAAUGGCAGUCCCAUUAAUUGGAAAAGAAAAGGGUGAAUCUAAAAUAAGGAGUUAAAAACGGCAAAGAAUCUUGAAAAGACGAAAACAAUGAAUUUAGUAUUGAUUUAGUAUGAACUCUCUCCACAAGGCAUGGAUUAUAAAAUCCGAGAAAAAGAUCAAUUUAUUUAUCAUGGAUUCCUUUAAAGAUUCAAACCAUACUUACAUAUAUAAAAACAAAAACACCAACAAGAUGAAGUACAAAUAAUUUACCAACAAGAUUCAGGUGCUGGUUUGCUUGAGCAGUAUUCAGCCAAAAAAAAAAGGAAGAGAAAUCACAGAUCACAGAAGAAUAUAUGGUUUAGAAAAAUAAUAAAGUUGCAGCAUACAUAAAUCUAGUUCGCACUGAUCAUGAGAUGUGGAAAGGAAAAUACGGAAUUGUAUAAUGAGAUGAGAUGUGGAAAAGAAUGUUACAGCAGCCGGCUAGAGCGUAUUUGGUAGUGUAGUAACAGUUGUUUUUCAAAUAGUUUUACAUGCUGAAAUACAUGCAAAUGAUAAUAAUAAUAAGUAAUUAACGUAUUGUUUGAUAGGAAGGAAGUUGCCAGGAAGCAACCCAAACAUAUUACAUUACAAGAUAUAGAAAGUUAACGUGUGGACCCGCCUCCAUGUUCACACUUCGAAGAAGCUGCCAAGAAAAUGUAAACACAUGAAAAUGAGAAAGAAUAGCAUAUUUCCGCUUUUGAAAAAUCAUUCAUCACUUUUAAAUACGCAAAUGAUUAUUAAGAAAAUUCAACGACAACAAUACACUCAAGAGCAAUAUUACAGUAAAGAAAUUAAAUCAAUACAGAUAAAUAAAUGAUCCAAAUAUAAUUAAAGAAUCAAUCCAUUUAAUCGAAAAAAACAUGACUGAAUCCAUAAACUACAUGCCCCUCUUUUUCUAAAGGAGGCAGCCCCACUUUUUCAUCACGUCGCCAUGGUCCCCGUGUCCCACACGUUUUUCAGUGACUUUUUGUCAGUUAAAAUUAUUAAAUGAUUUUUGUGGUGAUUUUAGCCCAGCUUUGGGGUAUCAAGUUUCCACGGAGACAAAUUAAAAGAAUAGAAAAAAAUAUUACAUGGAGACAAAUUAAGAGAAUUGAAGAAAAUAUUAAAUGAUUUAAUAGAGAUUAAAAUUUAAUUUUAAAUACAAAUUAAAAUAAAGCAAGGUGACUAAUGGAGAAAGUAGUGGAAUUCUACAAACAGUAGAGCGUCGGGAAUCCUUGCACUUCGCUUUUGAAAAAUCAUUCAUCACUUUUAAAUACGCAAACGACAACAAUAUACCCAAGAGCAAUAUUACAGUAAAGAGAUUAAAUCAAUACAGAUAAAUAUAUGAUCCAAAUAUAAUUAAAGAAUCAAUCCAUUUAAUCGAAAAAAACAUGACUUUUUCAUCAUGUCGCCGUGGUCCCCGUGUCCCACACGUUUUUAAAUGCGUCCAGGCUGGUUCAAAGUGAAUUUCACGACUCCUGAACCUUGACUUGUCUGUGAGAGCUUCAACUCUACAUUGAAAUGCUUUUUCUUAAACUGUGAGACUCAUAAUAAGCUUAUUGAAAUAAAUUAUUAUAAUGAAAUUAAAAACAAAAAUGCUUUAAAAAAAAACAGAGAGACGCCGUGUUUUCUCUAUUGCUACAUGGUAAAAGUCUGAGCAUAUUUAUUAUUAUUAUUAUUAUUAUUAUUAUUAUUAUUUUAAUAAUAUUACUGUUCUAUCUACCGCCUAGAAAUCAAGAACGCUAGUUUCAUUUAAAAGAUUCUAAAGUUCAUAAAUUAGCAGACAGGACGAAAACACAACAAAUCAUACCCAGAGAAGCAAAAGCCAGAAACAAGCUACCUCAAUUCCUGCUCCACCUGGCUAAGAAAUGCAGCGUGCCCACUUGGAAUUACACAUCAUCCAAAUUCCAGGGCAAAUAAUUGGUUGGAAUUGUUUUCUGAGGAGUCAUCUCAAAUUUGAAAAAUAAAAACAGAAAAUAGAUCCAGCAAAUGAUUCCAAAUAUCUUCUAAAAAGAACAAUGAAAUAUGUUUUUUUAUUUACUGUAAGGAAAGAUAUUAAUGGAAAAAAUAAAAAAAUCAAUUUAAAAAAUAUAUAAUAAGUCAAAAUCUAGACUUAAAAUCUAACUAGGUUCCUAGUUGAAUUGAAUAAUUGAGAGUGAAACGUGUCAAGACUGACACGAGUUCAGAAUAGACUCCACAACAGAAAAAACAAAAAAAAACGAUCCAUAUUGUGGCCCGUAGUAGUAUUCCGGAGGAGAGGGUCAAAGAUGGCGGCUGGUUCAAAGGACGAGCUUAAUCUCAUGAAUCAUUUUUAAACCUUUAUAGUAGGAAUUGACACGUGUCCUCUAAACCCUCCUGUCCAUGGUUGUUAAAAUUGCGUUUUAACUUGUAAAAUUGUAUGAUUUUACGAGUCAAAACAUGCAUUACAGGUUGAAUCGCUUGAAAAAAUCAAAAAUGGAUAAAAUCGGGUUGAAAUCAAGUGAAAUCGCGCAACAUCGUGAUUUCAGGACCGAUUUUGCGAUUUUGACAAAAUUAGGCACUGAAACAAAAUUCCCUCCCUCAUGUCCAGCUGUCUUCACUUUUUUUCAGCCUAUUUGGUCCUUGGACUUUAAUUUUCUAGCAAUGUUUCUUUGUAUGAGCUCCAAACUUUGGUGUUUUUUCAAUUGAACCCCCGAUUCCUUUAAUUAAUUAAAUCAAAGUUUAAUUAAGUCCUCAAACUCAUCAAUUCCUUAAUUAAGCUCAUGAUUUCAUUAAUUAAACUAAUCCAAAUUUUAAUUAAAUUCUCAAAGUUAUUAAUUCUUCAAUUUCUAACAAAUUGACUCUCAAAUUUUAUUUGAAUCAUGUAUUUUAAGAUGCUUGAACUAUGUAUGAAUUUUUAUUUGAAGGCUUGAAAUAUGUAUGAAUUUUUAUUUGAAGCAUGAAUUUUUUUUAAUGUAUUUUAAAAUUCCUUACGAUUUUACGAUCCGAGUUUAUGAACGGCUUUCCGUGUCGUGUUAAAAUCGUGAUUUUAACAACCUUGCUCCUGUCCCUCUUCCGAUCCUUGCUAAACCCCUUGUUCUGGUUGUAAUCAUCCAUUAGCGUAAACCUAUGCUUCUCUUGACUUUGAUCCCAAUAAACCAACCCAUAGAGUUGGUGGUAAUGUAAAUGAUAUUACUUUUUAAAUUAUUUUUAUUUUAAAAAAUAUGAAACUAAUUUUAGGCCCCGUUUAUUUGCUGGAAAGUAGUUUAUUUGCUGGAAAAUAGUUUCUUUUUGGAAAGUGAAUUCCGAGGAAAGUGAAUUAUGAGAAAGUAUUUUUCGAUGUUUGGUAGUGUAAUGAAAAAUAAGUUGGAAAACACUUUCCAGUGUUUGGUUAUGUCAUGAAAAAUGAGCUGAAAAAUAAUUUAUUAAUAUUUUAUUUUUCUCAAGUUUAUUAAAAUAAUGAGGAACAAAUCUUACAAAUUAAAAAGUUGAAUGAGAAUGAAAUUGAAAAAACAAAAUCUAAUUUCAUGAAUUAUCUCAAAUAAAAUAAAUAAUAAUCAAAAUAAUAGAGAUCAAAUCUAAAAAAUUAAUAAAAAAUAAAAGAUGAAGAAAUUAAAAUAAUAAUAAUCAAUAUUUCAUAAAUUAUUUCAAAUAAAAUAAGUAACAAUCAAAAGAAUGAGGAUCAAAUUUGAUAGAUAAAAAAUUUCAAUAAAAAAAUGAUAAGGAAAAAGCAAAUAGCAAUUAUAAAAAUAAGGAUCAAAGUUAAUAUAAAAAUAAAAUUUUAAGAGAUGAAAUUAAAAAAUAAAUAUUUAAAACAAAAUAUAUAUAGCAAUCAAAAGUUUGAGGAUCAAAUUUGAUAUAAUCAGCAAAUAAUGAUAUUUUUAAAUUUUUUCCCAACUUCCGGAAAGUGUUUUCCCUCCAAAUUUUUCAGGAAAAUAUUUUCCUGAAAACCAAGUUAAAUUUUUCUUUUACUGGAAAGUGGUUUCCAUUGACCAACUUUACUAUUGGCAAACAAACACAAGAAAGUUUGGGAAGUGAUUUUCCGGAAAUCACUUUCCGGAAAACAAACAUAGCUAAAGGGAAAACACUUUUCUGAAAACCAAGUCAAAUGUUUCUUUGACUGAAAUUAACCGGAAAGUGUUUUCCGUUGACCAACUUUCCUAAUGACAAACAAACACAUGAAAGUUUGGAAAAUGGUUUCCCGGAAACUACUUUUCGAGAAACAAACAUGACCUUAAUGCGUUGGUAUUAACAAAAAUUUUAAAAAUAUUAUAUUAAUAUAUUUUUAUUUGAAAAAUAUUUUAAAAAAACCGUAUGUAGAAUUACUAAACACCCUUAAGCCAGUGAACAAAGACACUAACGACAAAAUACAAAGGAAAAGGGAUAAAAGCAUAUAUUUGGAGAUGACAAAAGGGCUUUGAGAUCAAAGAGGAUAAGUUUUUUCUUUUUUAAUUUUAAUAAUACUUCUGUUCUUUCUAUCCCAAGAAAUAGAGAAUGCUAGUUUCAUUCAUCAAGAUUCUAAAUCUUAUAUUUAGAUAAAUUAGUAGAAAGGACAAAAACCCUAACAAAGAAAUGCAGCAUGCCCGCUUUGAAUUAUAGAUCAUCCAAAUUCCAGGGUAAAUAAUUCGAGAGUAAUUUGAUAGUGUUUAUAGAUUAAUUAAUGAUAUUUUAUUACUUUUUUAUAUUUAUUUUAAAAAAUAAAGAGAUACAACUAGAAAAAGAAAAAUUCAAGAUGAAAAUAUUCUUAUUAUUUUUUAUGAGUCAUGAAUUAUAUAUAUAUAUUUUUAAAUGAAUCUAGAUAAUAACUAAUAAUAUAUCCCUAGUGAUUCCCCUAAUCAUUAUAAAAUAUUGCGUGGGAAAUGCAGGUGAAGAAUUAGAAACAAGGAAAAAUGUCGAGACAAUGAAAAUUAAUUGUUAUAUAAUUGUACAUGGCAUACACUUUAAAGCUCCGAACCUCAGUAAAUGAUUUAAUAGAGAAUAAAAUUUAAUUUUAAAUGCAAAUUAAAAUAAAGCAGAGUGACUCAUGGAGAAAGCACAACUGGAAUUCUACAAACAGUAGAGCGUCGGGAAUCCUUGCACACCUUUGGUAAUUUAAUUAUUCUUAUUUCGUUUAAUAACUCAAAUAUAAUAAAGAAUUAAUCCAUUUAAUAGAGAAAACAUGACUGAAUCCAUAAACCACAUAAAUCCCUUUUUCUUAUCUGGUGCAAUUCCCAUGCGUCUUCUUUAUUCCAAAUGCCCCUCUUUUCAAAUUAGGCAUCUUCAAUUCAAUCUCCUUUUUCAUCACGUCUCCAUGAUCCCCGUUGUGUCACAAACAAAUUGCCUAAAGUUUAGGACUUUUUAUUGACAGCCACGUACAUGCUUUAGGAGUUUCUUUUUUGAAAUCCUCAUUAGAGGCUAAUUUAUAGCCUUUCAAGAUACCUUUCCAACACGUCAAGAAUCACAGCAAUCCGAUAUGUGAGUGAAAAGUUAUGAUUAAAAUACUAAAAUGUGUGGAAAAGAUACCUUUCCUACGACUUUGCUAAAAUUAUCUGACAAAUUAUCAGGCUUAUAAAAAAGCUUAAUAAAAUCAGAAAAAAAAAUCAUUUUUAUUCAAUAAAAUAAAAAAGAAAACUCAGGUAAUAAAUGUUCAAUUCACUUUCCAGCCAACAAUAAAAAAUGAAAGUAUUUUUAUUCAAUAAUACUUCUUGGCUUACAAAUAAGCUGCCAACAAUUAUAUAAGAAUCAAAUCUCUCCGAUCACAUGAUCGUUUAAAAUGCUCAACACUUAGAAAGCAAAUUUACAGAAUAAUAAGUCUAGCAAACUUCUUGAUAUAUAUAUAUUAUUCAACCAAAUAAUUGCUUGUGACAUAUAGGUGGCGAGCUUCCUAGUAUUAAAAAUUUAAGAUCAUCAAAUAAUUAAACUUUUUAUCCAAAGCAAUAAAUUUUAUGUGUCUAUUUUAAAAUUUGGUUUUCGAAAGAAAAUCAAAAUGACAUAUCAAACAAUACCUAUAAAUCUUUUAUAUUACAGAUUAACUAUAACACCUAUUUAUCAUUCUUAAGGUCAAUAUUUAGGAAUAAAUGAAUAAAAGCUACGUAUCAAUAUUUAAUUUAAGUAAUCUCAAAGACUACUAAUUUAGCUUUUGAUAUUAAAAGGGCGUAUGUCGUUACUCUCUGCCUAGUUGAUGGGGAAAAUAUCAGGUCUUCUAUCUCCACCACUCCCUGCUAACUCUUUUCCUCAUAUCUUACGUUAUAUCUAUCAAGUUUGCUUAAUUAAGAUGGAAUAUUUAUGACUUUUAUAUGUAUUAAAUCAAUUUAAUUGUUUUGACUUAUCAUGAUCAACAUGAAGUCAUCAUAUUAUAAAACCAAAAAUCAAUGGUGUAUCUAAUUAUCAAAAAGGUAUAAAUAUUGCUAUGAAGUUAACGUGUGGACCACCCCAAUUAUGAAGCUCGGAAGAUGCCUAGAAAAUGUAAACACGUGAAUAUUGAAAACAAUAACAUACUUUCCUUUUUAAAAUGUUUUUUAUUUUGAAAAAAAAAAUUUAAUAAAAAAAUUAAUAAUUUAAAAAGUAAAAAAAAUUCAAUUUUGUUGAAAAACAUUUGCUUUAACAAUGACAUAUUAAAUAUGUGAUUAAUUAAGAGCAUGUGAUUCCUUUUGUUUUUAGUUGUUUUUUCAAAAAAAGAUAUAUAGAUUUUUUUAAUGUUUUUUUUUAUAUAAUUUUAAUGUAUUAAUAUUAAAAAUAAAAUAAAUAAAUAAAUAAAUCAUGUAGUCUAUUUCCAAACCAAUCUAAUAUUGGAGGUCGAAAUUAAAAAAAAAACCAAUUAAAAAAAUUAAAAGAUAAAAUUAAAAAAAAAAAACAUAUUCGAUCAGUGAAUAAAUAUAUUAAACCUGUAAAUCAGGUAACUUGAGCUAACACAUCAAACUUAUUAACAAGGUUAUGGAUACCAAUUGAGUUACUUUUAGGAUAUUUUUUUGGCAGCCACGUAUAUGCUUUAGGAGUUCUUUUUAUUAAAUCAAUAUUAAAGUAAAAAAAUUAAAUCAAUACAGAUAAAUAAAUGAACUAAAUGUAAUCAAACAAUUAAUCCAUUUAACAGAAAAAACAUUACUGAAUCCAUAAACUACAUUAAUCCCUUCCUUUUCUUGUUUUUUUUUUUUUCUCUGGUGGAAUUCCCACACGUCUUCUUUAUGGGCAGCCCCACUUUUAAACCCUCUUUUUCAUCACGUCCCCAUGGUCCCCGUGUCCCACACCUUUUCAUCAAAAACCUAAAUUUUAGGACUUCUUUGGCAGCCAUCUAACAAUAUAUAAAAAUAAUAUUUUUAUUUUUAAAAAAUUAUUUUUAACAUCAAUACAUUAAAUAAUCUAAAAAUAUAAAAAAAAUAUUUAAAAAAAUCAAAAUUUUUAAAAACACAAGCAUUCCCAAACAAGAUAACGCGUCAAGAAUCACAACAAUCUGACAUGUGAGUGGAAAGUUGUGAUUAAAACACAUUACUACUUUUAGAUUGAUUUUGACAGCGUAGCAGGAAACGUCAUUAUUGUUAUUUUUAAAAUAUUUUUUUUAUUUAUAAAUAUAUUAAAAUAAAAGUUGUUAAUUUCGUUUCGUUUUAUUUGUAAUGAUUUCAUACUAAUUCAAAAAAUGAAAUAAAACAAAAUAAUUUUUAUCUUAUUUCAAAUAUCAGUCCCUUCCAAAUUUUUCAGCUAAAUUCCGUUUAGAAUGUUCCGGUUUCAUUCCACAUGUUCUGUUCUGGUCUUAAAAAGCUAUUGAAUCAAAUUGAACCUGGUUCAAUUAAUUAAUUAAACCAUCAAAGUAUAAAAAGCUCUUUUUCAUUACUAUUUUCAUUAACUAUGAUAUUAAUUUUUUGAAAUUUGAUUUAUCACUAAUAUUUAUGGUUUAUAUUCAUGUUGUUUUUUUUCAAGUUUAUACUUUGUAGGAAUUUAAGCAAAAAAAAUAGAUGUUUUAGAUCUCAUUAGCCUUGAUAACAUUGACCUAGCUUUAUAUUUAAAAUAUUAGUGUUAAAAUAUUUUAAUUUCAUAAUAUUUUGAUAUUUUAUUGAAGUUGAAUUGUUUUAAGUUAAAAAAUUAUUUAAUUUUAACUAUUUAAAAAUAUUUUAAAUUUUAAAAUUAUAUUUCAUCACGUCUCCAUGAUCCCAGUUGUGUCAAAAACAAAUUGCCUAAAUUUUAGGCUUUAGCAGUUCCUUUUUUGAAAUACUCAUUAGUGAAAUUUCACGACUCCAGCUGGGCCUUGACUUGUCUGUUUAAUUUCUAUUAUUUUUAUUCCAUUUUAGCAUUUUAGCAUUUAAUACUCAUCAAAACCACUAAAACGAAAUCAAGCUCUAGCUUCAAACAACCAGAGGGAGAUUUUAUAGGGAUAAAAUUUUAAAAAUCACGCCUAUGCUACUUUCUAGUUUUAGUAUUAAAUUUAAUAUUUAAAAAAUGUGUUUAUGAAUAUGGGAGUUUCAGGUUUAGAAACCAAAACUGUCAUAUUCAUACUCUCUCUUAGACAUUUUAAAAAUGUGUGUAGAAGAAUACUUUCACUGAUGAUUUAUAAUAUUAGGUUAGUUUAAUGAUAAAUCAAUAUAGUAUUUUUUUUAUUUCUUGGAUUUUCAUCUUGGAGAAAUUCAAUAGGAUGAAAAUAUAAUAUUAAUCAAACUUCAAAUUAUAAUUGUUUAUCUAUCGAGUUAAAAAAAAAUAUGACAAUUCAGUAGUCUUUAAUGAAAUAAAACAAAAUGAAAAAUGUUAUUUAUGUAAUUGUAAGCAUACUAUAUUAUAUUACUUUUACAAAGGGACGAAGGACAUCCUUUGCGUUAGGAUGCUCCCACUCCACUACUGACUCCCACCAUUCUUCUGGAUAUACCACAAUUUCUUUAAGAGAAGGGGGAGGAGAUGGCUGGCCAUUUUCAAGCAACGGAAGACAAAUUGGCAUCCUCUUCAGCUUCUCACAAGACAUUACACUAAUAUCUUCAAGAGAAUUGCAAAUCAGUUUUGCACUGCAAAUGCUUUUCAGUUCUGGUAAGUAAAUCAAUUCCAGAGUUUUUAACUUUGGGAGAAUGACUUCCGUGAUGGAAUUGGAGGUGCUGCUUUCUUCAUCUGUUGUUCCUAUUAUCUCCUCCAUUUUCUCACAGCACCUCACAUCAAUCCUUUCCAGGUUUACGAGGAUUGGCAGCAACACAAGUGGGAACAGCUUCUUCAUACUUUUACACCAUCCACAAUUAAACUCUUUAAGACCAGAAAACGUACCGUUACAUGAUGGCAAUCGUGGUGGAGCAGAGCAGAACCAAGAAGAUGAAACCAAGCUCUCCAUGUUAUCGCAUUCCCGAAUGCUGAUGCGCUCCAGUUCAGUUGCAUUCUCUAAUGACAAAACAUCACAUAAACUUCUUGCAUCGAUGCAUUCACAAAUCAGUCCUUGAAUGCCAUUUAAGAACUUGACCUGAAAAUCUCUAUCUCCUUUGAUACUCAAAUUACCCAACCCAACUGUUUUACUUGGAAAACGUUCAAUGCGUUGCUCUAAAUAUCUAUCCACCUCUGCUACUAAAAUCUUGCAUGUGCUUAAUGAUAGGAUCCCAUCCCGAGAUCUGAGAUACUCCACGAAGUCAGAAAAACCUUCGAAAUGGCACUCCAAAGUUUCCAAAUUUCUCAAGGAUCCUACUUCCUUUCCUUUAACUGUUAUCGGAGCAUAACAUUCCCCUAUAAACUCUUCUAGUACAAAGACUUGCAGGUGAGAGAGUUUUGGUAAUAUCCCACUAGGAAACUCCUUUUCACCAUAUCCAUUCAUUCUAAGAUACCUCAGGUUGGUUAGGCAUUCCAUUCCUUGCGGUAUCUUUUCAAGUGCAGUAUGAGAGAGACUCAAUCUCUUCAGUGCCUGGAGCUUCUCUAAUGAUGGAACACGUCUUAAUUUCUCACAAUGAUUGAGCAAUAAUGCUGUGAGGCUCACCAAAUCAGAAACAGAGUCUGGCAAAUUUCCAAUAUUUGUCCAAGACAGAUCAAGGACCUUAAGCCCAUGCAAUUGCUUGAAAAAUGAAUCCGCAAUAAAUCCCAACCAAUGAUUUUGACAUAGCAAUAGAGUUGAUAGAUAGGGACACCUAGGUGAAUGACUGGAAGGAAUUUCUUCGAUCAUGUUGUCCAUUAGUGAAACUCUCGUCAGAUUCUCCGUCCACUCCUCUGCAUCUGGCAACUCUUCUAAUUGUGCACCUGCUUUGACCAUGCCUUGAGAGUUCUCUAGCAGUAUUUGGAUAGCCAUGUCCCUAAUCAAGUCAUGCAUCUUGACACGUCUAAUAUCAUCAUACUUCCUUGUAGCACUUUCCAAUAGGCAGACAUUUUCAAGUCGAUUAAGCAUCGUGUGGCCCUCAUCAAAUGCAUCUCCCCUGCUCCUCUUUCCUUUAAUUAUUCCCUCAUCGAUCAAAUAACCUAUCAACUCCCCCCUUUUAAUCUCAUCAUCUUCAGAAAAUAAUGCACAGUACAAGAGACAUUGUUGUAGUGUUAAAUCACCUAACCGAUCAUAACUAAACCUCAAUAACUUGAAUACUUCAUUGUCCUUAAAUUCUGAUUCUCUCAAUUUGUUCAAUGUAUUUCUCCACUCAUAUAGGUCAUCCACUCCCCUCAAGCUUCCUGCCACUGUAAUAAUUCCUAAUGGCAAACCAGCACAUUCCCUUGCAACAGCUUUCGCAAUUCUUUCCACUUCUGGUCAAAGUGCUACAUCACGUUGAAGCUUCUCCAUGAACAAAGUCCAAGCUUCUCCAUUAGAAAGUGGCUUCACUUUGAUUUUGUGCUGGCAAGCCAUCCGAUGACAAAUCGUUUCUGAUCGAGUUGUCAUAAUCAGCUUGCAUCCUUCCAACUUUUCAGGAAUUCCCACUUUGUGUAGCUCAAAAUUGUUCCACAAAUCAUCUAAAAUGAGAAUCCAUUUUUGUUUCUUCCUUAGUUCUUCUGACAAUUUGGCAGCUCUAUGCAGUUCAUCAUUUUUUCUUGAAAGAUCUAGAUCGAGAUGUUCAGCAAUAAGAUUCUGCAAUCUAUUAAUGCUGAAAUCUUGAGACACGGUCACCCACCAAACAUUAUCACAAAUAUCUGGUCUUUGUAGAAGCUCAUUAUGGAUAUGUUGCAGUAUUGUGGAUUUACCAACUCCCCCCAUCCCAUAAAUGCCAAUGGUUGAGACUUUCCCAUCCAUUAACAAAGACCAUAUCACCUUCGUAUUCUCUUCGAAUGCUUGACCCACCGGCUUUGUAGAGCUAGUAGGUAAUGGAACUCCUCUAGUCUUGUUGUAUUUCAGACUUUCAGAAGAUCUAGCUCCAGCACCAACCUGCACUGAUCUUUGACUAUUCUCCACAUCCUCCUCCACUGGUUCUGUCCUCGCUCUAACCCGAUUAAUUCUCUCUUCCCCGGCACCUUGUUCCAGCACCCCCUGAACUCCAACUUGUAUCCUUCCAGCACCCCCCGCCAAAUUGCCAAGUACUGCAUUGCUUUGUUCCAACGAUCGAUCCACUGGUUCUGUCCUCGGUCUGCUCUCGAGUGCCCCUUCGGAAACUCCAUCUUCUUGUGCUCUCAUUCCGGUCAUGCUUACUGCGUCGUUUCCCGCUAUUGCAUGUGAAGUAAUCCUCUCUUCCCCUACUCCAGGUUCUACAACCUGAACUUCUCUUUGUACCCUUCCAAUUCCUCCUACCAUUCUUGAAAUUCCACAAUCAUUAACAUUGAUUGAACCUGCUGUGAUUUUAUGUCUUUUGUUGCCACCACACAUAGCUUUCCAGGCUGCUUCUUGAACUUCUUUAGGCACCCCAUGACAAAUGGCAACAUUAUGCCCUUCCUCUCCUGAUAAAUGCCAUUUGAUCCUUGAAAUGGAGGUUUUAUUGGCAAAUGUGUGUUGACAAAACUUACACUUCAUGCUACCAUCAGUCCUAUCUUCAAUAUAAUUCCAAAAUGAAUCCUUUGAUCGAACCAUUUCAACCUAUAUAAAAAAUGUAGAAAUGUAAAGAACUAUAAAGAGCUGCCCUGCAUUUACUGAUGAAGGAAAAGAACAGUGAACUUAGUUCACGAUUGAGAAGAACAAAUGCUUAAGUAAAACACAGAGCUUUGAUUAUCAAAUGUAAAGAACAAAGAGCAGAAUUGAGUUAGUUGGUUACUGCCAUCCCAAGUCUUUAUUUAUAAAGGGAAAGAAACAGAAUUUGAAUGGAAAACAAUAACUAGAAACGUGCCUGCCUUCUUCUCCUUUAUUUAAGGAGAUGAUUACAAGUUAAUUCAAUCCUAGAUAAUCUUAACAAAGAAAUCAAAAACAUAUCCUACACUAGAUAAUAGUCUCAGCUAAAAUAAAGAAAUAAUGCAGCAGUGAAUUACUGCUAAGUCUUCUGCUUCUGCUAGCUUAGGUACCAAGCUUCAACACUCCUCCUUGGUUCCAAAGCUAGUCAUUCCAAUUCUUGCCCUUAGAUCUUCAAACCUGGUUUUACCCAACGGUUUGGUGAAAAGAUCUGCUAGUUGAUCUUCAGAAGUGCAGUAGCACAGUUCCAGUUCUCCUUCUUGUUGAAACUGCCUGAGUGCAUGAAACUUGAUCUUCAUGUGCUUGGUUUUAUCAUGGAAGACAGAGUUUUUAGAAAUGGCUAUAGCUGAUGUAUUGUCACAAAACAAUGUUGUGGGAUUGUGUUGAUUGCAGUCUAAGUCACUUAGCAUCUUCCUCAGCCAUAUCAGUUGUUUUGCUGCUACAUAAGCAGCUAUAUAUUCGGCUUCUGCAGUAGAAUGUGCCACCACCGAUUGUUUCUUUGAAUUCCAGCAAAACAUACUCUUUCCCACAGCAAAACAGUAGCCUGAUGUGCUCAUCAUUCCUUCAUCACUUCCUCCCCAAUCACUGUCUGAAAAACCAACAAGAUUAAUUGAGCCGGACUUCACAAAGUGUAUGCCAAAACCUGCAGUCCCUCUUAGAUAUCUUAAUACUCUCUUAGCUGCCACAAAGUGAUUUUGACUUGGCUCUUGCAUGAACCUGGAAAGAUAAUUCACAGCAAAUUGAAUGUCAGGACGUGUGGCUGCUAAAUACAGCAAACUCCCAAUUAGACUCCUGUAGAUUUUCCCAUCAGCUUUUGGUGAGCCAUCCUCUUUCAUUAGCUUCUGCCCCUGUAUCAUAGGAGUGCUUACUGGCUUGCAAUUGUUCAUUGCAAAACUGUCCAGUAUUUUCAAAGAAAAACGUUGUUGACAAAGAAAAUAACCUUGAUCAGUUUGAGUUACUUCCAUUCCUAAAAAAUAAGUCAACAAACCAAGUUCAUUCAUCUCAAACAUGUCUUUCAUAUUGGUUUUGAAUUCCUCUACAAGCUGCUCCUUAUCCCCUGUGAUUAGUAAAUCAUCAACAUAAACUGAUACAAUUAGUUUAUGUCCAGCAGCAUGCUUCACAUAUAAAGUUACCUCAUUCAUGCUCCUGUUAAAUCCCAAGCUUAAGAGAUGAUUAUCCAACCUGCUAUACCAAGCUCUAGGAGCUUGUUUCAAUCCAUACAAUGCUUUCUUCAGUAAAUAAACCUUGUUUGUUGAAUUAGAUUUUUCAAAACCAGCAGGCUGCUCAACAUAAAUCUCUUCAUCUAGCACCCCAUUCAAAAAUGCAGAUUUAACAUCCAAUUGAAAUAUAUACCAACCGUUUUGUGCUGCUAGAGCAAGCAGGAGUUUCAUUGUUUCAUGUCUGGAAACUGGAGCAAAAGUUUCUGUGAAGUCGAUCCCUGCCUCUUGUGAAUAUCCUUUCACUACAAGUCUGGCCUUAUGCUUGUUGAUCUUUCCAUCUGCAUUUACUUUUGUUUUGAAAAUCCAUUUCACUCCAAUCACCUUCUUAUGAGCUGGUCUGUCAACUAGCAUCCAUGUUUGAUUCUUGUCUAUCAUUGCAAGCUCCUCCUUCAUUGCUGCUAUCCAAACUUGAGAGUUCAUGCUUCUUCAACAUUUACUGGUUCUGCCUCGCUACAUUGCACCUGCUAUAGAUAUCUGAUAGAGAUCUUGUCCCUCUUACUGGUUGAUCAUCACUGUUUUCUGCAGCAUCCAAGUCAGUUUGUUGCUCAAUAUUCCCAGCAACAUCUGUUUGUUGAUUAAUCAUGUUUGCAUCAUCCAACUCAUCUUGUUGCAUCGGUUUUGAUUCUUCAUUUGAUGAAUUUUUCCAGUUCCAAGCUGCAUUUUCUACAACUUUGACAUCUCUAGCAACCACCACUUUGUUAACAUUCAAAUCAUAGAUUUUAUAAGCUUAGAAUUUGUACUAUAGCCUAUAAGAAUCCCUAUAUCAGCCUUUUGAUCAAGUUUCCUUCUUCUGACUUCAGGUUUCAGAACAUAACAAAUACUUCCAAACACCUUUAAAUGAUCAAUACUGGGUUUAAAACCAUACCAGAGUUCAUAAGGAGUUUUAUCUGCCAAAACUCUUGAAGCCAUUCGGUUUAUAAGGUAUGCUGCUGUGUUUACUGCUUCUGCCCAGAAAUUCAAUGGCAACUUCUUCUCAUAGAGCAAGCAUCUAGCCAUCUCCAUCAAUGUUCGGUUUCUUCUUUCACUUACACCAUUCUGCUGUGGUGUGUAGGGAACAGUCAGCUGGUGUUUAAUCCCUUCUUUAGCAAGGUAUGCUUCAAAUUGUCGAGAGGUAUACUCUCCUCCAUUGUCAGAUCUCAAAGUCUUCAAUUUGUUUCCUGUUUCUAGUUCAACUGCUGCCUUGAACUUAACAAACUCAGCAAACACAUCAGCUUUGGAUUUUAGAAAAUAAACCCAGCAAUACCUGCUAAAAUCAUCAAUAAACAGAAGAAAGUACUUUGAACCAUUUAAUGAUUCAUUGUGCAUAGGUCCACACACAUCUGUGUGUACAAGCUGAAGUUUAGAUACUGCCCUGUAUGCAUUUUCUGGAAAAACAGUUCUGGUUUGUUUUCCCAGCUGACAAGCCUCACAUAUAGUUUGCUGCUCCUGAAUAUUUGGCAACCCGUGAGCCAUCUGCUGGUCAGCCAUUCUUUUUAAAGUAGCAUAAUUGAAGUGUCCCAGCCGUUUGUGCCAAAGAACAGAUUCCUUGCACUCAUAAGUAUUAGCACUUAAACACACUUCAUUCCAAUUAACAUUAAAGCUUCGGUUCAUCAUUUUUGCAGACAGUAAAAGCAUUCCAUUUCUAUCUUUAAUGUCACACACUCCAUCAUUAAAAACUAUUGAAUAUCCAGAUUCAAUCAAUUGACCCACACUAACUAGAUUUGGUUGAUCUUAGGCACAUAAAGAACAUUUUUAAGAAUUUUUGUACCUGACAGUGUUUCUACUGCAAUUGCUCCUUUUCCUUCAACUUUCACAAGUCUCCAUUGCCAAUUCUGACUUUAGACAGGUAGCUUCUAUCCAAGUCUCUGAAUAAGCUUAAGUCUGCUGUCAUAUGAUUAGUGCAGCCGCUAUCAAUGAGCCAUGAUGAGUCCUUUGUCUCUGCUGAAUUACAUAUGUCCUGAACUGUGACCAUGAAUAGAAGUUCUUCUUUGACUUCUGAACAAUCGGCUACUUGUGCUUGUUGUUCAGUUUCUGUUUUAUUUUUGCAGAAUCUUUGAUGUGACCAAAUUGCUUGCAUUUUCGGCAUUGAGCAUUCUUGAGCCAACACCAGGCUUCAAGAUGAUUGUUUUCUGACAGUAUUUGCAAGCAGGAAAAUGUUCUUUCUUCUCUUUCCCCCUCAUGAAACUGUUAUUGUUGUUCUGUUGCCAGUUAGCAGAUUUCCAGUCUCUCCCUUUUUCUCUUUUUCCUUCUUGAUUAUUUCUGAAGAUGUUCUUAGCCCGACCCUUAUCCUUGUAAACUGCAACAAGAGCUCCUUCACUUGAUCCUUCUUGUCUAUAUGCUUGCCUUUGCUCCACAGCUUGCAAUGCAUUCACCAAUUCUUGCAGCUUAUCUCAGAAAAAUCUUUAGAAUCUUCUAAAGAACAGAUUUUAUGUUCAAAUUUUCUGGCAAACUCACCAGGACUUUCUCUACAAUUCUAGAGUCUGGAAAAUCUUCUCCCAAGAGUCUUACUUGAUUCACAAGUUUUGAAAUUUGAGAAGAGAAAUCUUUGAUGCUCUCAUUUUCUUUCAUCUUCAGACCUUCGAAUUGUCUUCUCAGAUUCAGAAUCUGCAUCCUUCUUGAUUUCUCAUCACCAUGGAACUCUGCUUUUAAUUUAUCCCAUGUUUCCUUGGCAGAUUUGCAUGCCAUGAUCCUCGUGAAGAUGUCUUCACUUACAGCAUUAUGAAGACAAGAAAGAGCUUUGAAUCUCUUUGCCUUUUCUUCAUUAAAGAACUUCAUCUGUGCAAUUGUGGGAUUGUUACCUAGAGGAGUAGGUUGCCUAUCACUUUCCACUAUCUCCCAUAAAUCAAGAGCUUUGAGAUAGGUUUCCAUUUUUACAGCCCACACACCAAAAUUCUGCCCUGCAAACAAUGGUGUUUUUGCUGGAAAAUUUGCAGAAUCCAUUGCUUAAAAAAAAACUCACUCAAUCUCUCGUGUAUCACUCACCAGCCCUCAAAGUAAAACUUUGAUUUAUCCUCACAGUACUCUCGUGUUUCUCACUCACAAAGAAUCCCUUCAAAGAUCAAAAAAAGCUCUGAUACCAAUUGUAGAAAUGUAAAGAACUAUAAAGAACUGCCCUGCAUUUACUGAUGAAGGAAAAGAACAGUACUUAGUUCACGAUUGAGAAGAACAAAGGCUUAAGAAAACACAGAGCUUUGAUUAUUAAAUAUAAAGAACAAAGAGCAGAAUUGAGUUAUUGGUUACUGCCAUCCCAAGUCUUUAUUUAUAAAGGAAAGAAACAGAAUUUGAAUGGAAAACAAUAACUAGAAACGUGCCUGCCUUCUUCUCCUUUAUUUAAGGAGAUGAUUACAAGUUAAUUCAAUCCUAGAUAAUCUUAACAAAGAAAUCAAAAACAUAUCCUACACUAGAUAAUAGUCUCAGCUAAAAUAAAGAAAUAAUGCAGCAGUGAAUUACUGCUAAGUCUUCUGCUUCUGCUAGCUUAGGUACCAAGCUUCAACAAAAAAAAGGUAAGUCAAAAUAAAGAAUAAAAAUUGAUGCAAGUUACACCAUAUCCAGAUGGAUGAGAAACUACUUCUUCAGUGUUGUUACCCUUAUUUUGCUAUUAAAAUUGAUAGUUAGUUUAUUGCACAAUCAUAGGAGGGAAAAAGACGACGAUAAUUCAGUUAUACUUCUUACUUGUUGAGUAUUUAAACCCCUAUUUUGACUUUGCAGGGAAGUGCCAAGGCCAGGAUUUGAGGCAUUUGGCGUAGCAGUUUGAUUUUGCAAUCCUCGAACUUGGAGGUUAUCCAUCUGUGACCUAUAUAUAAAUGAAGUGAUCAUAUUAUAAAACCUUUCCAUAAUUGGUAGUCUCUCUUAAGCAGUAAAAGUUAAUGGUGUUAAAACACAACAGCUAGAAGUCAAUCAGUACCUAGGCACGAAGUUCUCUUGUUGGACAUUGUCUAUGUUAGGAAUUACAGGUCGAUCGACUUGUCCUUGAUUACAAAAAUAUUGACUCCUGAAUCCAAAACCAUUUGCAAACAAUAUGUUUAGCUUGUUGGGUUCAUGUUCAAGCCAUGAUGUUUCUUUCCUGAUUGAAAAACUAAUUUUUUUUUUAUAUAGAAAAUACUAAACGUGAAAAAUUGGAUACCAGGGAGCAGGAAAAGAAGGUCCAGGUUGAAUGAAGCCACCAUGUUCUGAAGUGGUUGCGUUCGGUGUCAUAUAGGCAUGUCCCGGCUGAGGUUGAUGAAUAUUGGAGUUCUGAUGCCUGAAGAAUAUUCAAAUAGUUAAACUUAGAACUGUUAUGCUGACUUGGUUGAUUUUCUAGUUCCAUUAUGUGCACAAAAAAAGAGAGAUAGAGAGCUCAAAAAGACUUGAAAGAUCCUCGUCAAUUUUGGUCAAGUUUAUUGUUUUCAUGAUUAAAAAAGCUUAAAUUCAUUCAUUGAUUUAAUCAUUGAUUCAUUGGAGGUUGAGGUCCAGGUAGCAUCACAGGCACUUCAUUCAUUGGAGGUUGAGGUCCAGGCACUUGAUUGCUCAUUAGUAACUGAUAAUCAGUCCAUUGUUGGUCCCUAAAUUAGCAACAUUUGUUAGUAAUUUCUUUAUACAUAUAGCAUGGGAUUGGCACAUCGAGGAUCAGAUAAAUUAGGAUGAGGCAGAUACCUAUAUUCAAAUAUAAUGAAUUCAUUUAGUGUAAUACAUUGGCAUCACUGAUAAGAAUAUUAGGCAGAUAAGUAGAACAACAACAAGAAGUUAAAUAAUUAUGAAUAUUAUGUACAAGAAGAAUUUAAAUAAUGAUUAUUCUCACUUAGUUGAUUUUCUAGUUUCAUUAUGUGAAGCAAAUCAGGAGACAGGGGAAACAUGGGGAAGGCAAGGACUCUUGAAAGCUGAUUAAAGCUUAUUAGCUGUAGUUAUUAUUUCCUAUUUAGCUGAUAGGUUCCUAGUCAGAUUAGUAUUAGAUUUCAAUUACGUAUUAGAUCGUAAUUCCUUAGCUGUAGGGUAUUUAAGAGGGGAACAGAACAAAAGAUGGGACAUUAUUUGUAUUCUUGGCAAUUACUUUCUUUAAAUACAAAUUGGAGUGAUUCAUCUACAUAGAUAUUCUGUAUUAAAUUAUUUAUUGUUCUUACUGGGAGCAACGAGAGGUUGUACCGGAGGGCAUUUACAUUAAUAUGUGCAUAAAAAAAAAACAGAGAGAGAGAGAAAGAGAUAGAGAGCUCAAAAGAAGUUAAAUAAUGAUGAAUACCUUGAUGGAGUUUGAGGCCAAUUUGGUUCAUUUUGGUUGAUCCGUGAUGAUAUCGAGCUUUGGUUGUCUGGAACCUCCGGUGGCAGCCUGCUUCCAUGGACAGUGACAUUAUUAGGAUAAACGGAAGAAUAACUAAAUUGCAAGCAAUCAUCUUCUGAUAAAAUAUGCUUAAGAAUGACGUACGAGAGAAACUCAGAAAUAUUGAAUGUAUCUUCAAUGGUGUAUCUAAUUAUAAAAAUGAAGUGAUCAUUGUUAAAUAAUAUUUAUGUAGUCUUAUUUAUUAAGGGUAGAAUAGUACUUUCAGUUUAACCUAUAUAUACUUUAUUUGUAUUUAGGUUAAGACUAUGCAUUCAUAAUAAACAGAUUAUUCAGAAUUGUAGCCUCCUUUUUGUGUUUGAUCUCAAUAAGUUUAACAUGGUAUCAGAGCUGGUUUUAUGAAACGAGGCUUAAUCCCAAAUACAGCUUCGCGGAUCCAAUUUUUUUUUGAAGUGAUAUUUUGUCUUCCGCUUCUACAAAAUUGGGUAUUUCGACAGUUUCUAUAAUUAUUUUGGUAUUUCGACAGUUUCUGCAAUUAUUUUGGUAUUUGCAUUCAGUUUUUGCAAAUUUAUUUUGUGUUUUGGAGUAAUCGUAUAAUUUCGAGAAGAUAUUUGUUUAGUUUUUUGCAAUCUCUAUUCAGUUUCUACAAAUUGGUAUUUAGUUUUCCGCUGCUUUUGCAUUCUGGUUCUUUGUGACUGUUGGUUAUGGCUACUGAAAGAGAUGAUUCGCUUCAAUUUGUGAGUGUGAGGUUGGAUGGGAAGAACUAUUCGUAUUGGAGUUAUGUAAUGCGAAAUUUCCUUAAGGGUAAGAAGAUGUGGGGGUAUGUUAGUGGAACUUAUAUAAUACCUAAGAAUAUUGAAGAGGGGGAUGUUGUUUUGAUAGAUACAUGGGAAGCAAAUAAUGCAAAGAUUAUUACUUGGAUCAACAAUUCUGUUGAGCAUUCGAUAGGUAUGCAGUUGGCGAAGUAUGAGACAACAAAAGAGGUUUGGGAUCAUCUGCAAAGGUUAUUCACACAAUCAAAUUUUACAAAACAAUAUCAAUUAGAGAAUGACAUACGAGCUCCUCAUCAAAAGAAUAUGAGUAUUCAAGAGUUUUAUUCUGCUAUGACAGAUCUUUGGGAUCAAUUAGCUCUUACAGAAUCGGCAAAAUUAAAGGCAUGUGGUGCCUAUAUUGAGCGUAGAGAGCAGCAGCAAUUGGUACAGUUUUUAACAGCACUUCACAGUGAUUUUGAAGGACUUAGAGGUUCAAUUCUGCAUCGUUCUCCACUGCCUUGUGUUGACUUUGUUGUUAGUGAGUUAUUGGCUGAAGAAAUACGUCUUUAGUUUUAUUCUGAAAAGGGAAUUCUUUCUGCUUCAAAUCCUUCAUUAUUAGCAGUGUCUUCUAAGCCAUUCUCUAAUCAUCAGAAUAAGUCUUACACAAGGGUUGGCUUUGAUGAGUGCAAUUUCUGUAAGCAGAAAGGUCAUUGGAAAGCUCAGUGUCCUAAGUUGAGACAGCAUAAUCAAGCUUGGAAGUCUGGCAAUCAAUCACAAUCUAAUGCUCAUAGACCACCUCAGGGUUAUAAACCACCACACCACAAUACUGCAGCAGUAGCUUCCUCAAGCUCUAUUACCGAUCCUAAUAUUUUGGUUGAGCAAUUUCAGAAGUUUCUCUCCUUGCAGCCACAAGCAAUGUCCGCUUCUUCUUCCAUAGGUCAGUUGCCUCAUAGUUCCUCAGGUAUGUCACACUCUAAAUGGGCCUUGGAUUCUGGUACUUCUCAUCAUAUGUCUCCAGAUUCCUCAUCUUUUACCUCUGUGCCCCUUUUGUCCUCCAUUCCUGUUAUGACUACUGAUGGCACUCCUAUGCCCUUAGCAGGUGUUGGUUCUGUUGUCACACCUCACUUGUCUCUCACUAAUAUUUAUCUUAUUCCAAAACUCAAAUUAAAUCUUGCGUCUGUUGGUCAAAUAUGUGAUUCUGGUGAUUAUUUAGUCAUGUUUUAUGGUUCGUUUUGUUGUAUACAGGAUAUGCAGUCUCAGAAGCUGAUUGGGACAGGCCGUAGAGAGAAUGGACUAUAUAUUUUGGAUGAGUUAAAAGUGCCAGUUGCUGCUGCCGCCGCUGCUACUACUACCGUUGAUUUGUCUUCCUUUCGUUUGAGUCUUUCAUCUUCUAGUUUUUAUUUAUGGCAUUCCUGUCUAAGUCAUGUUUCAUCCUCUUGUUUGAGAUUUUUGGCAUCCACAGGAGCUUUAGGAAAUUUGAAAACUUGUGACAUUUCUGAUUGUAGUGGAUGUAAAUUGGCAAAAUUUUCCGCCUUACCUUUUAAUCGAAGUAUUUCUGUUUCUUCUUCACCAUUUGAUUUGAUUCAUUCUGAUGUAUGGGGACCUUCUCUUGUUGCCACAAAAGGAGGGUCUCGAUAUUAUGUCUCUUUUAUUGAUGAUCAUACUCGUUAUUGUUGGGUUUAUUUAAUGAAACAUCAUUCUGAAUUCUUUGAGAUAUAUGUAGCUUUUCGAGCUCUUAUCAAAACUCAAUAUUCUACUAUGAUUAAAUGUUUUAGGUGUGAUUUGGGUGGGGAAUACACCUCUAAUAAAUUUUGCCAAUUGCUUGCCUUAGAUGGAACCACCCACCAAACUUCUUAUUGCUGAAAAAAAAACAUAGGCACAUUGUUGAAACUGCUCGUUCUCUCUUGUUGUCUGCCUUUAUUUCUAGUGAGUUUUCGGGAGAAGUUGUUCUUACUGUUGUAAGUUUAAUUAAUACAAUUUCAUCUUCUCAAGUUCGGGUCUGUCUCCUUUUGAAAAGUUAUAUGGGUAUGUUCCUGAUUAUUCCUCAUUUAGAGUCUUUGGUUGUACUUGUUUCGUUCUUCGUCCUCAUGUAGAACGAAGUAAGUUAUCCUCUCGAUCCGCUAUUUGUGUUUUUCUAGGCUAUGGUGAAGGUAAAAAGGGUUAUCGUUGUUUUGAUCCAAUAACUCAGAAACUUUAUGUGUCUCGUCAUGUUGUCUUCCUUGAGCAUAUACCUUUCUUUUCUAUUCCAUCCACUACUCAUAACCUGACUAAAUCUGAUGUUAUUAGUAUAGAUCCGUUUUCUGAGGAUUCUAAUAAUGAUAUCUCUCCCCAUGUUCGAUCAAUUGGUACUCAUAACUCUGUAGGUACUGGUACUUUACUUUCUGGCACACCUGAAGCUCCAUUCUCAUCUACAGCCCCUCAAGCUUUAUCUGAGAUUGUGGAUCCACCUCCAUGUCAGUCCAUCCAUAUUCGUAAGUCUACAAAACUACCAGAUUUUGCUUAUUCUUGUUAUUCUUCAUCAUUUACUUCCUUUUUAGCUUCUAUUCAUUUACUUCCUAUUCGAGCAAUUUUUUUUGUUUCAACUUAGGCUCUGAUUCUGACUUAGUUUCGUACGAUAUGACCAUCCUGGGUAUAUUCUGUCACUCAUUACAUAUUGAAAAAUUGACGUACACCUUUAAUAGGUCCUAUGGAUCAUUGUUCUUAGAGCAGUUUCUCAGUCAGAUUUGGAUGCUCAACAUUGUCGGAUCAAGAACCUUUUUGACCAACUAGAUUACUGCUAGAUUCUGUUCUCUAAAACAAUUUUAUCUCACUUCAACUCUUUCAUCAAAGAUGUAGUCCUGGACGUGUAGAUAAAUUUGGACUUUUGAAUCGCUUGAUUUCAAUAUCAUAAGCUCAAAAUAUUCUUGUUUGAAUAUCUAACGUGAAGGCAGAGAAUUCUGCCGCGAGAAGGAUAUUGACUCGAGUCUGCUCUAAAAAAACUCUAUUUUUGGCCUAGUUUUUGUGAUUUUUGUUCUUAUUUCAUACUCUCAGUCAUAUCAGGAUUCUCGGCAUUCGUCAGUUUUUGAGUUAGACCUGGAGAUCCCUUUUGACCAACUAAAUUACUGUUAGAUUCUGUUCUGUAAAACGAUUUUAUCUCACUUCGACUUCUUCAUUAAAGUUGUAGUCCUCGAUGUGUAGAUGAAUUUGGGCUUUUGAAUCACUUGAUUCCGAUACCAGAAGCUCAAGAUAUUCCCAUUUGAAUAUCUAACGUGAAGGCAGAAAAUUCUGCCGCGGGAAGGAUAUAGCCCAAGUUCGCGGGGCUGAUUCGAAGGAUUUUUUUUGGACCAAGGACUGAAUCAAAAAGUUUUAAAAUGAGGGAUUGAAUUGAAGAAGGAUAUUGAAAGCUGGAGAGGGAGGAUGGAUCAUCAUAAAUGAUAGGAUUUUUUCCACACCAAUAAGGAAAAUGAGACCUUGCAGCUGCACCAUCCAGCUGAUUUUCUUUCCUUUUUCGCUGCAAAUUCUUGCUGUUUUUCCUUUAUCAUCAUGUCUGAUUUUGGGAGCUGCAACCACGUUUUUUCUGGCCUCAUUUCAAAGGGAGCAGCUGACCCUAUGGAAGGAAAGAAAACAACCACACCCUCCUCUAAAACUAGAAAGAAAUCAGACGUAAAGAACCAGCAUAAAGUCAGAAUAUUGCAGCUUCCUUUUGCAUUUUUUUUUACUGCAAAUCAGUAGGGAUUUACGUCCUAGGAUUAAUGCAUUGAAUCCUUCUUAAAUGGAGACAUUUUUAGACUAUAUAUAAGCCCUCUAAUGACCUAACGGGGGCAGAAAAAGAGAGAGCCGAAAGAGAGUAAAAAAUAGCAGAAAGAGAGCAGAAAAAAUAAACGAAAAACGCAAGAGAGGCAGGGAUUGAAAAAACAUAGAUAACAGGGGAACAUUGAGAGUUUGUUUUUUUCUUUGAUCCUUUUCGUCAAAAAGAGAAAGGAGAAUAGGGAGGCAGGCGACAGUAAAACCAGAAAAGCCAAUAGAACAAAAGAGGAAGUCUUUCUUUGGUUUUUUAGAGGCAAAACGCAGGAGCUUUUCUAUCGGGUUGUGUCUCAUCUUUUGCAUUUGAAACGUGCAGGAUCUGCAGGUAUGAGUCCCGACUUCCUUCAUCUUUGUCAUAUUUAAAGCUUUGUUUGGUUUUUGUUUUUCUGUUUGUUGCUUUUUGUUUUGGGGACGUUUAUUUUCAUCUUAGCAACAAAGUGGCUUGCUUGCAUACUGUCCAUCCCAUGUCUUUGAGUUUAGUUUAUUAUCACUGUUAGAGCUGCGUUUUUUUUUUUGUUUUACUCCCUAGUGAUGAGAAACUGUAAGCUUUAAACAUCCCUUUCUCCCGUCGCUCAAUCGUUCUUUUGCAAUGGAACGCUAAUUAGAAGCAAGUGUUUAAUUAGGUGCAGAAGAGAGGGUUGAAAAAAAAACGUGAGGGAGAGUCCCUUUCUUCAGUUAAUGCCGAUUCUGGGUUCACACCGUUUUCUUUCUUUCUUUUCUUUUCUUUUGUUUUUUGAGUUUGCAGGGAGGGGUCAUGGUUCAUGUUGUAAUUUUAUUUAGCUUGAGGACCUCGUUUUUUUUAUAUGUUUUGUGCACACUGACUUGUGUUUUUUUUUAAUUGGUGUGCCGAAACUUGUUUAUUUGAGAUGAAUUGUUUUAAGCUUCUUGCAAAUUUUGGAAUAGGUGAAUAUUUUUUGUGAUGUUUGUUUAAUCAUGUUAUUCAUUUUUUUUUAAGAAAAAAAAUGGUUUUUUCUUGUGUGUUGCAUACGGCCAUUACCCUAACAUGCUUUGAAUUUUUUUUUAUAUAUAAAAAAAUAUUUGAAGUUUCGAAAAAGGUGUUUUCGCAUGGAUUUCGUAAACAUAACAAAAAUUAUUUUCUUGCAUUUCUGGAUUCUACAACAUGUUUGUAAAACUCCAAAGGGUAUUGGCCAAUAUUUCAAAAAAAAAAAUCCUUUUUUUUUGGGGGGGGAAUUCAUCUAUUAUUCACCGCUAAUGUUUGGAUAAAGAAAUUCUCAAAGGAUGAAUAUCCAAAAUAUUAUUGGGAGUAAUAAAUCCGCACACAUCCUUGAAAGAAGCCUUGAUUAUAAUCGAGGACAUUUCAAUUUUUUUACUCCAAGGUUUAUGAGCCGUGAGAGUAUAAAACAUUAAAAAAUAUAUCUAUAUAUAGGUUUUUUUUUAGCGCCCUAGAUUUCUAAGAUUUUUGUCCCUCCUCCUUGCGAUUUACGAGUGCAAACUUUUGAAAUACUAAGGGAAAAAUGAGCUUUCAAAGCACAUGGAAUCUCCUUGGAUUUCUAUCCUAAUAAAUUUAGUUUGAAUCAAAUCUAGAAAAACAGAUGGGAUUAGAAAACACCAACACUAUAGCAAUUAUAGCGCAAACCAAACACCAAGCAGCUUACCUUAGGUAGGGCGUACUAGGGGUGCUAAUACCUUCCCUUUACGCAACCAGUCCCUUACCUUAGAAUCUCUGAAAGACUAGUUAGGGUUCCUAGUGACCAAAAUACUAGGUGGCGACUCUCAUAUUCACAAUAAAACAAAAGACCCUGAAAUAAAUCGAAAGUCGUCGCUCCGCCACGAGGGUGCGACACUCCUAUUGAGGUUAAUGCAAGGUACUCUUCUUCUGAUGGUUUACCUUUGAUAGAUCCUACUUUAUACCGCACUAUUGUUGGGAGUUUGGUAUAUCUCAUCAUUACUCGUCCAGAUAUUGCAUAUGUUGUUCAUGUUGUUAGUCAGUUUGUUGCUUCUCCUACUAUUGUUCAUUGGGUAGCUAUUCUUCGUAUUUUGCGAUAUCUUCGAGGUACAGUUUUUCAGAGUCUUUUACUCUCAUCCACCUCUUCCUUGGAGUUGCGUGCAUACUCUGAUGCUGAUCAUAGUAGUGAUCCCACAGAUCGCAAGUCUGUUACCGGGGUUUUGUAUCUUUUUAGGUGAUUCUCUUAUUUCUUGGAAGAGCAAGAAACAAUCUAUUGUUUCUCAAUCAUCCACCGAAACAAAAUAUCGUGCCAUGGCAUCUACCACAAAAGAGAUUGUUUAGUUACGUUCGUUACUUGCUGAUAUGGGAGUUUCCUUUUCUCAUCCUACUCCUAUGUAUUGUGACAACCAGAGUUCUAUUCAGAUUGCUCACAACUCGGUUUUUCAUGAGUGAACUAAGCACAUUGAGAUCGAUUGUCAUCUUACUCGUCAUCAUCUCAAGCAUGGCACCAUUACUUUGCCUUUUGUUCCUUCUUCCUUGCGGAUUUCUUUACCAAGGCGCAUUCCAUCUCUCAUUUUCGUUUUCUGGUUGGCAAACUCUCGAUGCUUGUAGCUGCCGCAUCGUGAGUUUGAGGGGAGAUGUUAAAUAAUAUUUAUGUAAUCUUAUUUAUUAAGGGUAGAAUAGUACUUUCAGUUUAACCUAUAUAUACUUUAUUUAUAUUUAGGUUGAGAUUAUACAUUCAUAAUAAACAGAUUAUUCAAAAUUGUAGCCUCCUUUUUGUGUUUGAUCUCAAUAAGUUUAACAAUCAUAUUAUAAAACCUUUCAAUAUUUGGUAGCAUCUCUUAAGCAGUAAAUAUCAAUGGUGUAUCUAAUUAUCAAAAAGGUGUUAAUACCGUGUUAAAACACAACAGCUAGAAGUCAAUCAGUACCUCGUAGAGUUGCCAGAGUUUCGAGGCACGAAGUUCUCUUGUUGCAUAUUGUCUAUGUCAGGAAUUACAGCAGCUUGAUCGUCUUGUCCUUGAUUAGAAAGAAAUUGAAUCCUGAAUCCAAAAUCAUUCGCAAGCAUUAUGAAGCAUUACAAACUUAUGAUUAUCUAGCUGGGUUCAUGUUCAAGCUAUGAUGUUACUUUCCUCUUUGAAAAACUAUUUCUUUUUUUUUUUUACAGCAAAUACUAAAUAUGAAAAAUUGGAUACCGGGGAGCAGGAAAAGAAGGUCCAGAUUGAUUGAAGCCACCAUUUUGUGAAGUGGUUGCAUUCGGUGUCAUAUAGCCUUGUCCCGGAUGAGGUUCAGGAAUAUUGGAGUUCUGAUGCCUGAAUAAUAUUCAAAUAGUUAAACUUAGAACUGUUAUGCUCACUUGGUUGAUUUUCUAGUUCCAUUAUGUGCACACAAAAAAAAGAGAGAUAGAGAGCUCAAAAAUACUUGAAAGAUCCUCGUCAAUUUUGGUCAAGUUUAUUGUUUUCAUGAUUAAAAAAGUGUAUAUAUAUUCGAGGUUAAUACCAUUGAUUUAUUGGAGGUUGAGGUCCAGGUAACAUCGCAGGCACUUGAUUGCUCAUUGGUAACGGAUAAUUAGUCCAUUGUUGGUCCCUAAAUUAGCAACAUUUGUUAGUGAUUUCUUUAUACAUAUGCAUAAUUGUUAGCUAUUAAUCCACUAAGCAUUUGAUAUCAUUUUAGCUUACCUCAAAGGCAUUGAUGGUCCAGGUAGCAUGGGAUUGACACAUUGAGGAUCAAAUAAAUUAGGAUUAAGCUGAUACGGUGAUACCUACAUUCAAACAUAAUGAAUUCACUGAUAAGUACAACAACAAGAGGAAGAAAUGAAGAAGUCAAAUAAUGAUUGAAAAACUUCUUCUUCUUUUUUUUAACAGAAAAUACUAAAAAUGAAAAAUUGGAUACCGGGGAGCAGGAAAAAGAAGGUCCAGGUUGAUUGAAACCACCAUGUUGUGAAGUGGUUGCGUUCGGUGUCAUAUAGCUAUUUCCCGGCUGAGGUCGAUGGAUAAAGGAAUUAUGAUGCCUUGAUGGAGUUUGAGGCCAAUUUUAUAUAAAACUUAAUGAUAAAAAAAUAUCAUAAAAAAGUCUAAAUCUCCCAAUUGUUGUCUGUUUGUUUAACAAUAAACAUUUUGAAGAUGCUCGAGAUAAAUUGAUAAACGAAAACAUAAGACUUUUUGAUCCAAUGGGUGAUACAAACACUUGCUAAUUCAAUGGAAAUUGUAGCAAAUUGGAGUAGGCAUGAGCACUCACCAUGGUUUGAGGAAAUGAAGGUGGAAACUGAUCAGUUGUUUGCUGAAUACUAUCGUUGAUCACAUUGUUAUCCACCACCAUGUUCUGUCCAUCUUGAUCAUUGCAUAAUAUGGAGCUUUGGUUGCCUGAAAACUCCGGUGGCGACCUGCUUAAUUUGUUAUUAGGAACAUUAUUCUUUUUUGGGAAUAAUAAGAAAAACUGUAGAAUAACUAAAUUGCAAGUAAUCAUCUUCUGAUAAAAUAUGCUUAAGAAUGACGCACAAGAGAAACUCAGAUAUAUUGAAUGAAUCUUCUUGUGAUUGAAAAUCGAACUGAUUCGAUGUCAAGUUGACAUCAUCCUCAUUACAAGACGGUGGGACUCCUUCCAUCUGAGGUUUAAAAAAGAACAGAAAGCACAGAUUAGAUAAGAAUAUAUAUAUAGACACACACACACGACUUAUUUAUUUGUUAAAGAAAUUCGGAUGAAAAAUAGGAAAUAUAAAUGUUGCUGUUAAUUAUUUAAUUCUUUGUUUUAAUGCUAAAUUAUUUGUCACUUGUUGUGAACAAGUUUAAUGAAAGAUAAUUAAUACUGAUCAAGUUAAUUCAUGAAUCAGUAAAAAACAACUUCAUUGAAUCAUUAUGUCAGAAAAAUAUUGGAUAAAAAUAAUUAAUGGCAGUCCCACAGGGCAUGGAUUACAAAAUCUAGUAUUGGAAAAGAAAUCCCAUAUAUAAGGAGUUAAAAACAGCAAAGAAUUUUGAAAAGACAAAAACAAUGAAUUCAAGGUUUAGGGUUAAUUUGGUAUGAACACCACAAGGCAUAGAUUACAAAAUCUGAGAAAAAGAUCGAUUUAUUUAUCAUGGAUUACUUUAAAGAUUCAGACAAGAUGAAGUACAAUUAAUUUACCUGGAUUCAAGAUGUUCUUCAAGUGCUAGCUGGUUUGCUUAAGCAGUGAUCAGCCAAAAGAAAAGGAAGAGAAAUCACAGAUCAGAGAAUAAUAUAUGGUUUAGAAAAAUAAUAAAGAUGCAGUAUACAUAAAUCUAGUUCGCACUGAUCAUGAGAUGUAGAAAGGAAAAUAGGGAAUUGUACAAUGAGAUGAGAUGUGGAAGAGAAUGUUACAGCAGCUAGCUCUUUUACAUAAUAUUAUUUAUUAGUAAGGUCGCCUCAAUAAUAAUUAAUUAACGUAUUGUUUGAUAUAUUAUAAGAUAUAUAAAGUUAACGUGUGGACCAGCCCCAAUGUUGAAACUUCGAAGAAGCUGCCAAGAAAAUGUAAACAAAUUAAGGUUCCAUUUGUUUGCUGGAAAGUAUUAUUUUUUUUGAAGUAAAUUUCGAGUAAAGUGAAUUCCGGGAAAGUAUUUUCCGAUGUUUAGUGUAAUGAAAAAUGAGUUGGAAACACUUUCCAGUAUUUGGUUAUGUCAUAGAAAAUGUGUUGGAAAAUAAUUUAUUAAUAUUUUAUUUUUCUCAAGUUUAUUAAAAUAAUAAGAAACAAAUCUUACAAAUUAAAUGGUUGAAUGAUAAUGAAAUUGAAAAAAAAAUAUAAUUUCAUAAAUUAUCUCAAAUAAAAUAAAUAAUAAUCAAAAUAAUAGAGAUCAAAUCUAAAAAAUUAAAAAAUAAUAAAAGAUGAAGAAAUAAAAAUAAUAAUAAUCAACAUUUCAUAAAUUAUUUCAAAUAAAAUAAGUAACAAUCAAAAGAAUAAGGACCAAAUUUGAUAGAUAAAAAAUUUCAAUAAAAAUAUGAUAAGAAAAAAGCAAAUAGCAAUUAUAAAAAUAAGAACCAAAGUUAAUAUAAAAAUAAAAUUUUAAAAGAUGAAAUUGAAAAAUAAAUAUUCAAAACAAAAUAUAUAUAGCAAUCAAAAGUUUGAGGAUCAAAUUUGAUAUAAUCAGUAAAUAAUGACAUUUCUAAAUUUUUCACAACUCCCGGAAAGUGUUUUCCCCCCAAACUUUUCAGGAAAACACUUUCCUGAAAAGCAAGCCAAAUUUUUCUUUUACUGGAAAGUGUUUUCCAUUGACCAACUUUUCUACUGGCAAACAAACAAAAGAAAGUUUGGAAAGUGAUUUUUCCGGAAAUUACUUUCCGGAAAACAAACACAGCUAAAAAGAAAAUAUUUUCCUGAAAAUCAAGUCAAAUUUUUCUUUGACUGAAAAGUGUUUUCCGUUGACUAAAAAGUGUUUUCCAUUGACCAACUUUUCUAAUGAUAAACAAAUACAGGUGUAACUGGACGACAAAACAGAGUGACCAUUUCUUUUUCUAACAACAGGAAAGUUUGGAAAAUGGUUUCCCGGAAACUACUUUCCGGGAAACAAACAUGGCCUAAAUUUUCUAAAAAGAACAGCAUAUUUCUGCAUGCUGUGAAUUUUUUAAAAAAAUAUUUUUUAUUUAAAUAUAUAUUAAAAUAAUUUUUUAAUUUUUUUUUAUAUUGUCACAUAAAUACAAUUCAAAAAUAUUAAAUACAAACAGUCACUUGAUAUAAUUUUACAGAUUUUUAAUUAGUCUCCCUCAUUUGAGCCAUGUCAUGGUUAAUAGUUAUCAGAAGAACCAACACCCCGACAAAAAUAAUAAUAAUUUCACAGUUGAACAAUGUUUUUUAAAAAACUUGAUAUUUUUUUAUUUUAAAUUAAAAUUUUUAAUAUUUUUAGAUUGAUUUGACAUUUUAAUAUUCAAAAUAAAUUUUAAAAAAUAAUAAAAAUUAUUAUUAAUAUAUUUUUAAAUAAAAAAUAAUUUAAAAAAUAAUUAUUAUCACCAUCAAACAUUAUCUUAUUCCAUGAUAGCAUACCUGAACUUUUCCACAACAAUGGAAAUUAUUAUUUUUUCCAACACCCUUCUACAGAUUUAUAUUCUUAGCCCUCGACCUAUAAAGUAUGAUUUGCUAGCCAAUCUGCACACUAGUUUCUAAUUAAUACAAAGAUGAUCGUGUUUUUUUGUUGCCAAAAUUGUGGGCCAAUAAUUUUCCAUUUUUUUCCGAGUUUUUUAGUGAUUUUUUUUUAUCUCAAAUUCAUAAAUUAAAAAAUUAAUAAAAUAAAAUUUUGAAUUAAAAUUAAAAACCAAAAUUAAAAUGCAAAAUGCAAAAACUCCAGGGAACAGAAUUUUGAAAAACACACCAAGCUACUUUUUUAUUUCAGUAUCAUAUUUGGUGUUCAAAGUUUCAAUUAUUUUUAAUGAAUUAAAUUGAAUAAAAUUUUAUCAAAUCAAAUACCAACUUAAAUUAAUCGUUGAAGCUUUUUUUUUUUUUUUACCUUGAGAACUUCAUAAUUAAUUAAAAUAAAUUAUUAACCUCAAAUUCCCAUGAAUAUAAAAUUAAAAAUAAAAUAAUCAGCUCAAAUAAUAAUUAAUUAACGUAUUGCCUGAUAGUAAGGAAGUUGUCCGGAAGCAACCCACCGCUCACCUACCAAACAUGAGAGUGUUCGGAGAUUAUUUGGUUUUUUGUUUUUUAUGGCCAUAUAAAAAAUAUAUAUUUUUAAUUUUAAAAAAUAUAAUGUAUAUUUUAAAAAAUUAUUUUUUUAAUAAAAAAAUUAUCACAUCUCCGUACCAAAUACACAUAUUAUAUUAUAAGAUAUAAAAAGUUAACAUGUGGACCCCCACCAAUGUUUAAACUUCGAAGAAGCUGCCAAGAAAAUGUAAACACAUGAAAUUUUCAAAAAAGAAUAGUAUAUUUAUGCAUGCUGUAAAUGUUUUUUUAAAAAUAUUUUUUAUUUAGAAAUAUAUUAAAAUAAUAUUUUUAAAUUUUUUACAUUUUAUAUCAUAAUAUCAAAAUAAUUAAAAAUAUUUAAAAUAUAUUUUUAAAAAAUACAUUGGGAUUGUAAAGUUAAACCAGUUCUAACGUUUAAAUUGUUUUAAAAAUAUUUUAAAAAUAUAAAAAUAAACAGGGUUUAAGGUGCAUUUGAAUGUGUCUGCCUUUGAGUGUGUCUAUCAGAGCCGAGUGAUUUUACUUAACCAUGAAUUUUUUGUGAGACAAAUUAUAAUGAAUUUUUUUCUAUUUUACUAAUAUACCCAAGGUGUUUAUAACUAGAUGCUACUUGCUGAGGUGGAUAUUAGCAAUAUCAAAAUUAACUGUAAUGUUAAAACUUUGGAAAGCUAUUUGAGGCAACACCAUGCCCACCAACAUCACCCCAACAAAAAAAGAUGAAUUUUUGUACCUCCCAUAAAGAAAAUAGAUAGAGGUAUGAAAUUUUAUUCUAAAUAUAUUCUUAUAAAAAUUUUAAAAUUCCAAAUCAUGUACAUAUUCUGCACAUCACACAUAAUGACAUCUUUGUUUAGCGAUGGAGCACAGAGUUGAUCAUAAUAUAUAUCUUCCAUGGUCAAGACACAAUGGAUCUGUUGGUUGAGAUGGAUCUCCAUCACAGCCCAACAUCAUUAGCGCUUAUCAAAAGAAGAAGAUUUCGAAUCAGUCCAUUCAUUUCCAUCUGUAGGCAUCUUUCUCAAACAUCAAGGAGAAUUACUUCUAGAUUCUGAGUUGCCACUAAAAAACAAAAAACCCUUACGAACUAGUUCGUCUUCCAAUCCUUAAAUUAGUUUCCUCGUUGUUUUUCACAAUUUUUUAAGAAAAAAAAAUAAAAAAGGAAAAAUAAAAAUAUGAUCAUAAGCUAUAUAUCUAACACUCAUUUUAAAGAAAUUGAUAAUCCAAGAAUUUAAACCUAGCCAGUUAGCUAUAGGACACACAACUCGCUAGGGAUACGAUGAACCUUUUUUUGAUGGCCUUGUAACCCAGCAGAUUGGAAAAAAUAACAACGCUCCUAGGCCAAGCCCGCGAACAUCACCCCCAGCAUAUUGGAAAAAAUGCUCAUAACCAUUUCGGAAAAAACACACCUAGGCUACCAUGGUAUGCUAGAAAGUGGAAAUAAAUCGAUAAUAAUCAUGAAAUAAAUCGUAAGCAGAAAAGAAAAAUAAAUAAAAAUUGUUCAUACUACUCCAUCUUGAUUGAUGGGAAUGACUUCUGACUUGCAUACAUAUGUAAUAUGUAAGACUCCUGCUAAAAUUAUCUGAUAAAUUUUCGUGAAAAAAAAUAAUAAAGUCAGAGAACAACCAUGAAAUGCUUCUUAAAUUAAAUCAAAUGGAGAAGAAAACUCAGGUAAUAAAUGUUUAAUUCACUUUCAAGUGACAAUAAAGAAUGAAAGCAUUUCUAUUCAAUGAUAUUUCUUGGCUCACAAAUAAUCUAUCAACAAUUAUAUGAGAAUCAAAUCUCUCCAAUCACAUGCUCAACACUUAGAAAGCAAAUUUACAGAGUAAUAAGUCUAAUAAACUUCUUGAUGUAGUGCAACAGAUAAUUCUAAAUUUAUUAAAUAGACUCAUUAACAUUUUUUAUGUAUUUAUUGACAUAAAUAAUUCCAAAUUUAUCUAAUUAAAUAUAUACAAAACGUGGUUAGUAUAACUAAACACACUGACUUUUGGCUACCAAACUAGUUUUGGCAUUAAGUGGCUUGUCCCCAGAACCUGGGUCCCAAAUGCCAGCAACCGAACAUAAAAAGGUUUCAACCCCAUGGUGCCUUUUCCCUUGUUGUAAAUAUAAAAUAAAAUUUAAGUCAAGGAGGUCCAGUCUUAAAUGCUCCAAACAUUAUCCUUGUAUCAAGCUUAUGUGAUCCAAGAAUUCAUAUUUAUUAUAAAAUUAUAAUUUAAUAUGAGUUUUUAUCUUAUGAUUCAAGAAGUUUCUAUUGUAUAUUCAAGAAUUUUAAGUUUGUAGUCAAUUUUAUAAUUCAUAAAAAUAUUUGAUCCCUGAAUUAGUUUUCUAAAUGCCUUGCAUAAAUUCUUAAGAGUAAAAAUAUUUUAACAAUAGUUGUCGUGCUAAAAAUGAUACUCUAUUGAACUUUUAUUUCUAAUUCUAUUUUUUAAGUUUUUGAUUUUUGUAAAAUUGAUUGGAAAAAAAAAUCAGGUCAUGUGGGCGCUUAACUCGAAUCAGCAAAAUCAAAGAAUCAAGUGAAUAAUAAAUUUCAAUAUUCAGAGUUGAAGACCGGUGGAGCAAAAUCCGACUCUAGUCUAGAGCGUGUUUGGGAACGUCGUGCAAAUCGUAUUGCUUCAAAAUUAAAAUUUUAUUUGUUUAAAAUUAAUUUUUUUAUGUUUUGAAAUCGUUUUGAUGUGUUGAUAUCAAAAAUAAUUUUUUUAAAAAAAUAUUAUUUUGAUGUAUUUAUAAGGAAAAAACACUUUCAACCGCAAACCGCUCGUUUGAGAUUGUGGUAGUGAUUGUGGUUCAAAGUGUUUUUCGCUUAGAAAUACAACAAAAUUAUUUUUUUUUAUUUUAAAAAAUUAUUUUUGAUAUCAACACAUCAAAACGAUCUAAAAACAUAAAAAAAAAUUAACAAAAAAGAAAUUCAAAGUUUAAGUAAACAUGAUUUCCAUGGCAUUCCCCAAUAUGCCCGAAUCAAAGACAUUCUAAUCUCGUUACUUUUUAGAGAUCUCUUAAUUUUCAAGAGAACCUUAACCAUCCCUUUAUGCAAGUGUAUGCUUUGCCAAACAAUCCUUCAGGAGAAUGGGUUCUCAAACAUGCCAAAUUGUUUUUCAAAUAAUUCAAAAUUCCUAAAACAAACACUAUAUUAAAUUCAUCUAUAUCGGCAUGGGUUGAUCUAUCCAACCUAGUAAUAUGUCAUAGGAUUGGAAUCUGAUUAUGUAACAAUAGGGAAAAAAUGUCAGAUUUUUGUUUUUUUUAUUGGAUUUACUUUCUAUGUGGUCAAUCUUGCCAUUAUCAUGAGUUUCUAAAGUUAACAUAGGCUGAUUUUAAUAUUUUUCAGGUUUUUUUUUUAUUUUUUUAAUAUUAUUUUUUUAGAGUUGAUCUUUAUGAUUUUUUUAUGGAACAAUAGGGAAAUUUUUUUUAUAAAUUAUUUAUUUAAUUAUAUGAUAAAAAUAAAUGCUCCUCAAAUUGAGUAUCAUUUUUAAAAUAAUUCUAUAAAAAAUAAAUUAUAUUUAUUUAAGAUUAUAAUAAUUCUAUAAAAAAUAAAUAAAAAUAAAUCAUAUAGUUUAUUUACAAAGCAAUCUAAUAAUAUUAAAGAAUAACAUAAAAAAAUAAAAAAAAAUAUAUCAGAGAAAUCACAUAAGUUUGAUAGCAAGGAAGGAAGUUGCUGAGAAGGAACCCGCCGCUUACCUAACAAACAUUAUAUUAUAAGAUAUAGGAAGGUAACGUGUGGACCCCCUAAUGUUGAAACUUUGAAGAAGCUGCCUGUAAAAUGUAAACACGUGAAUAUGAGAAAGAAUAGCAUAUUAAGGUAGUAGAUAUCUCUUCCAUUUUUUUCCUCUUCAUAAUGCAUGGAUUUAAGUUGCUUGGAGAUUUCAUUAAUGAAAUUAUUAUUUUUUUAUUUUUAAUAUUAGUAUAUUAAAAAAUAUUUUUUCAAGAUAAAUAAUUUUUAAAAAUAUAUUCAAACACAAUUUUAAAUAUAAAAAUAAAUUAUGUCUUGAUUCUAUCGUAACAAUCUUCAUCUUCAAAGAUAAAUUAUUAAGAUCGUGACCUAUGUUCUCGAUUGAACUAGGAAGGUAUGGACUCUAAAUCCUAUAUAUAUAGAUAAAUUAGUAGAAAGGACAAAAACCCUAGUGCAAAAGUCCUAUAAACUAGCCAAACAAAUCAUACCCAGAAAAUCAAAAGCCAGAAACAUUCUAGCUCAAUUUUUGCUCCCCCUAGCUAAGAAAUGCAUAAUGCCCGCUUUGAAUUAUAGAUCAUCCAAAUUCCAGGGUAAAUAAUUGGAGAGUAAUUUGAUAGUGCUUAUAAAUUAAUUAAUGUCAUUUUAUUAAUUAUUAUUUUAUAUUUAUUUUAAAGAAAUAGAGAGAUAAACUAGAAGAAGAAAAAUCCAAGGUAAAAAUAUUCUUAUUAUUUUUUGUGUUUGUUUUUUUAAGUGAAUCCAAAAAAUAACCAAUAAUAAAUGACUAAUUACAUCCAAAGAAUAAUGCGGUGACGGUAGCACAGCAUUGAUUCUACAUGGGGACAAAUUAAAAGAAUAGAAGAAAAUAUUAAAUGAUUUAAUAGAGAAUAAAAUUUAAUUUUAAAUGCAAAUUAAAAUAAAGUAGAGUGACUAAUGGAGGAAGUACUGGAAUUCUACGAACAGUAGAGCGUCGGGAAUCCUUGCACACCUUUGGUAUUUUAAUUAUUCUUAUUUCGUUUAAUAACUCAAUAGGAUGAAAAAAAAAUAUUAAUCAAACUUCAAAUUAUAAUUAUUUAUCAUUUGAGUUAAAAAAAAAUAUGACAAUUCAGUAGUCUUUAAUGAAAUAAAAAAAAAUAAAAAAUGUUAUUUAUGUAAUUGUGCUUAACUUUACAAAGGGACGAAGGACAUUCUUUGCAUUAGGAUGCUCCCACUCCACUACCGUCUCCCACCAUUCUUUUGGAUAUACUAUGAUUUCUUCAAGAGAAGGGGGAGGAGAUGGCUGGCCAUUUUCAAGCAACGGAAGACAAAUUGGCAUCCUCUUCAGCUUCUGACAACGGAAUACAUUAAUUUCUUCAAGAGAAUUGCAAAUCAGUUUUGCACUACAAAUGCUUUUCAGUUCUGGUAAUUCAAAUAAAUUCAGAAUUCUUAACUUUGGGAGAAUGACUUCCG
rnacentral:lncRNA from 1 species